ACCAAAAAAGUACAUUGUACAUAUAAAAGGAUAUAAUUGGUUUUUAUCCAUAUGUAGUAGGAGUAGAUAUUGAGGCUUCUUAGUUUUGUUGUGGAUUUACUUCUUUAAAUUUUAAAUCAAUAUAAUGAAAUCAUGCCACCAUCGUAGAAUAUGUUGAGAAUAUAAUUAAGUAACUAAAAAUAUCUCCAUAAUAACUUAUACUCUUAGAUGAGAUAAUCAUACACUUCAAUAAUGAUCCCAAAAUUUAAAAGUUGUGAUUGGUCGUAAAGGUUUUGACCCCAGAAGAGUUUGUCAAACACUAACAAAAAUUCUUCUACCAAACAAGAAACUUACUAAUGCUUCCUAGAAGAGCUCUCUUUGUAUUAUUGACUUUCUAGUUUAUAUUCAUAUAAGGAGAAUCAUAUAUGUAUCUUUUGGAACUCUUAAAUAGGAAAUAAAUUACUUAAUAAGCUGACUAGAAUUUUAUGUAUUGGAAAUAUAUUUUUUAUCUUUCCAAACUCUUAAAUAUAAUAAAGUGUAUCCCUGUUUUUCUAAGAACAAAAAUGUGUAUCUUCUUUUUAAAUUUCAUAAAAAUAACUUAUUUUAAUAUAUUGUAUCCAAACAUAUACAUAUCAUACGGUUGCAUGGUGUAAUUAACCAAUUUAUUUAAUGCUAUCAGUGAACAUAAUUUAACCUUUUGCAACAAGCCCAAAAAAUAUACAAAAAUAGAAAAACAUGCAUGCAAGUUCAACAGUUUAUGUAUUUUAAGCACACUUAAAUUAGUAAAAAAAAUUAUCACUUUAUCAUUACACUGUGCAAGUUUGAGAAAAAAAAUUAGGAAACUUUACCAUUAUCCUGAAAAAUCGGCCGAUUUCUGGGUGAAAAAUUGACAGAAGAACAAGAGGAAUUCGGAGAAGACAGCGAACUUCUUCGAAUCUGAGGCGAAUGAUAAAAACUUUCAGCAGAAGGAACUGGUUCUUCAUAAUUUUGCUUCUGAUAAAACUGUUGAGUUUCCGAUUGAUAGUAUUUUUUCGCCAUGAAAACAAUGAAUCCACUUAGGGUUUUUUUAAUCUGACAUUUUGAGAUUUCCCUCAAAAUACAAAGCGAACGUUCUUCUCCGAUUGCUACAAGGAGUCUUCGUACUUUAUCAUCUGGUGAAUUUUGUCUCUCUUUUUUGCAGAUUUGGUUAAUCAUUUGUUGUACUGAAUGUGGAAGUUCAACUUCUUCAUUGUUGUGAGAGUAAAAAUCUCCCAUUUUUUGCUGAUUGAAGUGAAGAAAACUGGGAUUUUUGAGAGAGAAAUUGAGGUUUUUGUUGAGGAAUGUGUACAGUGGGAAAUGUUUUGCCUGCUUAGUUUAAAGUGGAGCUUGGAAAAUUACUUUUCAAAUUAGUUGGUUUUCCGCCCGAUAUUCGAGAUUCGUAUUUGGUAUUAAAUUUUAUUUGUAUUAAGAUUAGAUUAACUUGAAUUCGGGCAUAUGUUGGGGGCGAGGUUGGUAAUAAAGAAAAAAAGUCAUUCUUAAAAGUUUAAACUUAAGACUCGAUUAAUAAGGAUAAAAAAAAAAAACUUACAUAAAUUUCAUUAGUUUAAGAGUUAAUUACUUAAAUAUUUUUUAAUUUGUAAUAUUAUGUAUUUUAUUAGAUAUUGGUUGUUCAUAUACAUUGUAUGAGGAAAUAGAAAGCAGAAAAAAAGUCCAGUUGGAAAGAAAUAAAAGUUGAAAAAAGCUCAAAAGAAAAAGAAGAAGUGACAAUUCAAGAUGUGACCAUUCAAGAUUACAGUGAAAGAUCUCAUAAAUCUUAAGUUUAUAUUAUUAUUUUUUAAAUCAUAAUUUAAAAAAAAAAAAAAAAAAAAACUGGCGAUGUGAAGAGGUUAUUGGUAUGAUUGUAUCGUAUUGCAAGAAUAUAUUAAAGAAUAACUAAUUAUUAUUAUUGUUUUAUAGUAAAAUUAUGUAUAUUUUUAAAGCAUGUAUUAAUAUGUAAUCGCAAUAGAAAUAUAUGAUUUAUUAAUGUGAUGAUUUCGUGCACAUCAUGUAUGAGUUAUUAAUUUUCUAAAAAAGACAUCAUGUAUUUUUUCUAACUAACUUUAAAAUAAUAUAAUAAAAGAAAUCAAUUUAAUUUAUCGUGAUUUGUUUUACUACUUAUUUUAACUUUAAAAGUUAUUUCAAAUUUAAUUCAGGGUCAAUACAGUAAUUUCAAAAAGGAGUAAUAGAAUAAAUAUUAGUUGAGAAAUUAUGAUUAAAUUUUAUAUUUCAUAAAAUUGACAUUAUAUAGAAAUUAUUAUUUACUGUGGUUAUAAAUCUCGUAAUCUCCAAAAUAAUUUUUUAUUUAAAUCUUUAAAAUUAAGAGAAAACCUUAUAUUAUUCUGAAUGAAUUAAAUAUAGUCUCCAUUUAAGUAUCUGUCCAAUCACACUUCUACUGAUUUGCCCAUGAUUUAACCGGAAGGACACGUGGCAUCACUAGGACAACUCAACCCAUCCCAAAUUUAAUAGUUCCGAUUUCUUUUUUUCUAUAACUAGGUAAUCUGUCUGCGCUUCGCGCGGUCAUAAAUAAUUGCAUUAAACUUGUAAAAUAAUUUUUACUAAUAUUCAUACAUUAAAAAUAAUGGAAAAAAUAGAUUCUUAAAAAAAUAUUAUCAAUAUUUCAACAUGAAUCUGAUUAUUUGUCAUUAUCACAUAACUCAAGAACCUCUAAUAAUUUAAUUAUUCAAGAAAUAAUAAAUCAUUGGUUCUUUAAUCAACAUUAAAAGGAAAAUAAAGAAGAAAAUAAGAAUAUAUACAAAGGCAUUUCGUAAGAAAAAAAACACAUUUAAGUUGCAUAGAUUAUACAAUUGGAAUAUUUGUCUUAGGAAAAAAUUCAAAAAUUUGUUAACAGAUUCAAAAAAGAAAUUAUGCUUGAACAUGAAAGCAAUUAUAACUUUUUGAACUUGCAUUAUGAAUUUCUUCAAUUGAUAAGUGAGAAACUUCAUAUCAACGUAAAAAUAGAUAAUAUGUAAGCUUAUAUAUAGUAAAUUAAGUUGUAGAAGUUUAUAUAGAAUAUCAAAACAUGAAUUCUUGAAAUUGAGUACCAUAAUUAUUUUCUGCACAAUGAAUAUCUUACUAUAUGUGUAUAUGUUCAAUAUAACCGAAGACAAUAACUUUACAGAAACAUAAACAAUAGAGUUUAAAACAUGUACUCAAAAACAAUAUAAGCAUAAAUUAAUGAAUGUAAAAAAACAUAUCAGGAUUUGUAACAAUAAGAUGAAAAAGAAAGGAAAAAAUUGAGUCCAUUGCACAACAUCUCCUUAAGAAAAUUAUUCUCCUCUAAUACCCGAGGUUUAAAGAAAUAGAUCCUUUCAGGAUGGAACGAUUUUAUUCACCAGUGUAUUGAUACAAAAGCAAUGGUGUUAGUGAGCCACUCAACAGGAGCAAGUACACGAAUAUUUAACUGCAUAGAAGAAGAAGAAGUAGUUCAGGAUUUUCGUUGUUUUAAAUGAGAGGAAAUCCCUCUAUUUAUAAACAACAAAAGGUAGUGUGAACAAAUGUUUAUUGUGCCUUAUCGGAAAGGUCACAACUCUUUGAAAAAGUCACAACCCUUUAGAAAGGUCACAACAUUUCAUAAAAGUUGCAACUUUUCAUAAAAUUCACAACUUUUUAUAAAAGUCACAACUUUUCAUGAAAGGAGAAGGCUAGUUUUGAAAAUAAAUAAAUUAAAAGGGAAUUCUGAUUUGUGGUGGCGCCACGUAGGCGGGCUUUGAGUCUCUUUAUAUAUAUGAUAUGAUAUAUGAUAUUUAUCUAGAUUAUAUAUAAAUAUUUUUAAAAUAAUAUUUUUGUUUAUGUAUUAAAUAUAAAAGAAUAAAUAAGAAAUUCACUUAUUUUAUUUUAUUUUUAAAAUGUUUUCCUUAUACACACUUUUAGAGGUUGUUUGGUAACUGAAUAAAAAAUAAGUUAUUCAUGUAUUAAAUUUUGUAUAACUUAUACGACGUUUGGUAUGUAGCUAAAAAAUAAGUUAUUCAUAUAUAAAAUUAAUAUGAUAUUUGAUUGAUAAUUUAGAAACUCGUAUAACUAAUACAUGUACAAGUUAUGAGAAGUGUGUGUAUUUUUUUAUAGAAUAGAAAGUGAAAUAAUUAAUACCUACUAUAAAAUAAUACAUACAUUUUCUUAUAAUGAAUUCCUACAUUAUUAAUACCCGUAUAAUUUUAACCAACUAUCAAACGAGGUCAUAACCCUUUAUUGCCUUAACCGUGGUCCGUGUAGUAUAGUUUGGCUAGUUUUGCAUACUAUAAGGACUAUUAAAUACUCUAUGUAAUAGAAUAAGGAUGAUUAUCAUUUUCUUUUAGUUUCUCUCCUGAUGUUCGGAAUCCACAUUAGAGCUCCGACGAAAUUCAGAUCAUGCAUUAUAGGGACUUAUUCAGGGUCAUUUCGAAACAAAAGGGACUAUAUUUUGGGCCUUUUCUCACUAAUAUAAGUCUAGGGGUGUUCAUGGGUCAAUUGGAUUGGUUAUUGGUCAAAAUCAAAACCAAACCAAAUUAAUCGAUUUUAAAAUUAGCAAAUCAAACCAAACCAAAUGGAAUAUACAUUGAUCGGUUUGGUUGUUAUCGAUUUUGAUUUGGUUUGGUUUGGUUAUUCGGUUAUUAAUCAUACACAAAAAUAAAAGAAACAAUUCAUUCAAAAUGUGAAAAGUGACAACAAUUCAUUCUAAACGAUUUAAAAAAAAAAAAAAAGACUGACGUACAGAACUUUCGAUCAUUGAAAUUACUAUGAAUAAAGCUUCAAAAUUCGCUAUUUUGCCCCUAGAAGGAAGAGAUAGUGACAUAUUCGGUCUCACAAAGAAUUGUCAUAAACACUCAUAUACAUGAAACCAAUAAGAUAAAUGUUCUCACCUUAGACAUUUUUGCUCUCAUAAGUAAAUUAUAAACUAAUUUUUGAUGAAAACAUAUAUAAGAUCUUUAAAAUUAUUUAUAAAAUUAAUAUUUUAUGUAUGUAUAAUAAUAAAAUAUAUGCAUAUAAUUUAUCGGUUCAGUUCGGUCAUUUCUUUGAUUUUUUCAAAUAAAAUCAUAAUCAAACCAAAUACUAUCAGUUUCAAAAAUCUAAAACCAAACCAAACCCAAAUAAAACCGAUCUAUUUAAUCAAUUUGGUUCAAUUUUUUCUAUUUGAAUCGUUUUUUAUCCAAACCAUAAACACCACUAAAUAUAACAAUAUGAUGAUGAAAAUAAUCAAACCAUCAUUAUCAAUUCCCUUUCCCUCCCUUCCAUUUUUCCACUUUUCAUCAAUGAAGCCAUUAAUGCCUUAACCUAAAUUCAAAUCCAAUCAAUUGAGCACUGCCAUUUUUUUUUUGUCAUUUUUAAGAGGGACAUUGGCACUUUUAGUCCCUCAAGUAUUACAAAUUUUUAUUAUUACCCUUGUAAUUUUUUACUAAGCAUUAUGAGCCUUCAACUAAUUGAUACACAUGCACUUUUGAUACCUCAAAUUGCAAAUCUUCACAAAUUUAAUGAAUUAUCAAGUGUUAAACCAUUUAAUGAUUAAUAUAUUAUGUCAAAUUUGUAUUGCUGCUUCAUUUUUUUAGGUGAUAUAGUUCUAAAAAUACUUUAAAUAUCACCUAAGUUGCUCGGACUUGGGUGCGGGUGUCCGAUACGAGUGCGGAUCUAGAGGUCGGAUCCUCUAUAAUUUAAAUUUUAAGAUUCGGAGAUAAGGAUAUAUGUAUGGAUGCGGGUGCAGGGAUUUAGUUAAAAUAAUUCAAAUAUCUAAAAAUAGAGUUAUAAAACCUAAAUUAUGAGAUAUUACGUGAGAAACUUGAGGAGAAUAUUGAUCAAGCGAAGAAUCCGGGAAGGUGAUUAAAAAAAAGGGAAUGACAAUAAAAAUUUAUAUAGACAAGCUAUUCUGUUUUCUUCAAUUUCCCCUUAGUUUUUGUUUUGAUUAUAGACAUCAUUGAAUAUGUUCAGAAUUUCUCCUCGAAUUUGGUCAAAUUACCCAAAAUCGGUUGACCAGAUCAGGUACGGAUCCCACACUCACACCCACGUCAUGUCGACACAAAAGUGAAGAGUCCAAACAACUUAGAAUAUCACAUAUUCCAUAUGUAAAGAGACCAAAAAACACAAAUUUUAGUUAACUAAAGGUUAAAGACCUUAUUUGAAUGAAUUUAUAAGUUAUAACUUAUGAAUUAUAAAUUAAUCGACUCUGAUUUAACUAUAUAUUUGGUUUUUUAAUAUGUAGCAAUCACUAAUAAAAUAAAAUAUAUUACCUAUUAUUACUUUCUACUACUAGUUUAAACAAACCAAACUCAGCAAGCUAGACAUGCAUCAUGAAAGACAAGUUGAGAAUAGACCAUACUUACACAAUUUAAUGUAAGGAUUAAGAAUCCUUACCUUCCACACAUCCAUGGUAGAUUAAUCAUUAAUGGGGUUAUCUACCUGAUUUGACAAUCAAAUGAUAGCUAAUCCUCCAAUGAAUAUAAGGAUUUCUUAAUUCAUUUUUUCUUUUUAAUAAUUGUAGUGUCCGAGCAAGCUUGCACCAUCACAAAUAUUAGGUAACUUUAUCUAUUAAGGCUUGGACAAACGAAAAAAAAAAAAAAACACUAGGUGUUUUUUUUUGCCUCAUUUGAGAUUUAAACCUGAAUUAUGAUUCCCAACCUAUUUCAUUGUCGACCAGGUCAAGCAAGCCCUUGGGUGCAAAUGAAGGAUACUAUUAAUGCCUCUCAUCUUCUUACAACCAAAGUUAACAUUCCAUAAUUGAGAAUACAUCAAAAUCCACAUAUGGAGAAGUUAUACCUUUUGGUUUUAACCUUCAUAACAGUUUGGUUGAGUUCAGUCAGGGGAUUUACAAACAUAGAAACAGAUGAAUCUGCUCUUAUUGCCUUUAGAGCAUAUAUAACUUCAGACCAUGAUCAUAUCUUGUCCAAAAACUGGACGCCAUCCAGUAACAGAUCCUCUAUCUGUUACUGGAUCGGCGUCUUUUGUAGUGGAGACAACGAAAAUCAAAGAGUGACAUCUUUAAAUGUCUCAGGAUUCAGACUUUCAGGCACAAUUGCUCCUGAUUUAGGAAACUUGACAUUUCUAAUAUCAUUAGACAUCAGUAACAACAACUUCAGUGGCUUGAUGCCUAAUAAGUUAGGUAAUCUACAACGAUUACAAGAGAUAAACGUAGGAUUCAACAAUUUAAGCGGAGACAUUCCAAGCUGGUUUGGAAACUUGCCACAGCUCGAGAGCAUUUUUAUGAACGAUAGCACGUUUAGUGGUCCUAUUCCACCGGUUUUAGGCAACAACACAAAGCUGAAGAGAUUGGUACUGUCAUACAAUUUGUUACAUGGAAACAUACCUCAAGAGAUAGGAAACCUUUCCAUGCUGAUAAUAGUUGACUUUAAGUAUAAUGUGCUUACAGGAUCUAUACCAUCUGAAUUAUUCAACAUCUCAUCGUUGCAAAGCAUCGAUCUCACUGGUAAUAGUCUAACAGGUGGACUAGCACCGGAUAUCUGCAGUAAUCAUCGUUUUGUUGAGCUUCAAGGAAUAUUUUUAUCCGCGAAUCAGCUUCAUGGACUGAUCCCAUCGACGUUUCAUCUUUGCAAGGAACUCCAGGAUUUAUCCUUGUCCUACAAUCAAUUUAGUGGAAAAAUCCCAGUUGAAAUUGGAUAUAUAACCAAGCUCAAGAUAUUAUAUCUGGGGAUAAACAAUUUCAUAGGUAUCAUAUUAUAUUUAUUCAAGUUAUAUAGUAGUCAGCACUCUUAUAAUAUUGCUAGUGUAGUUAGUGAUUAGAAGAGAAGUCAAGUUCUAUAAUUUUUACAUAGAAAGAUGACUGUUGGAAUUGCAUGUUCAAAGAAUUAUGUUUCUCCGAAUAGCUGUGUUUUAACAGAUAUCUAAGUAGGGGCAGAGCCAGGAAGGGCCAAACUAUAUAUAGCAAUGUUGGAACCUUUGGCUUCUUCAUGUGUUUACUUCUUCAUAUUUUGAACCCCCUUAGUGAAAAUAGGAUCGGGGUUUAAAUUCCUUAAUGAAAGAGAUUUCAGUCAAAACCAUCAGUUUUCUGUUUCUCACAAGUUUAUCUUCCCAACAUAAAUGUAUAGCAACUUCAACUUAUCGAGGAUAUGACCUUAUAUAGGAGGUUGUGGAGUACAUGGAUUAGAGUAGAAGGUUAGUAGGUAGGAGUGCAUUGUCUUGAUGUCAGUCCAUACUAGUAGUCGUAGUAUUACAACUAUCGUAAUAGUAUUUUGUUGUAGUACUGUUCUGUUACUAUAUGAUGUUUUUUGUACUUCCGUUACUUCUUUUUCUGGACUACUGCUGUCUGCUUUGGACUUUUUUUUCUUGAGUUGAGAGUAUAUCGGAAACAACCUAUCUACCUCUGAGGUAGGAGUAAGGUCUGCGUAUACUCUACCUUCCCUAGACCCUACUUUGUGGAACUACACUGGUGCUGUUGUUGUAUAUGUAUAGCAACUAAAUAAGUGUUAAGUGAGUUUAAAUCAACAAGAAAUUUCUACUUACUACACCAAUCGAUCGAGGUGUUUUGCUAUCUAUAUUUAUCUAGUUUUGACAAUCUUUUUGCAGGUGGAAUUCCUGAAAAUUUAGGCAAUCUUACAUAUUUGGAGAUGCUAAGCCUAAGAGGUGGUUCACUAACAGGUCAAAUUCCACACACUCUAUUCAACAUGUCCAGCUUAAAGCAACUCGAUCUUUUGAACAACAGCUUGUCCGGAAACCUACCAUCCAUGAGCAGUCAAUGUAAUGUUCCUCACAUAACUGGUGAAAUCCCAGCAAACACAUUCAGAUGCAAACGCCUUCAAGUCAUACAAUUAGCAGACAAUAUGCUUACAGGCAGCAUUUCUAAAGAUAUUCGGAACUUUACUUUCCUUCAGAAUCUAUAUUUAGCAGACAACAACUUCACAGGUACGCAACGCCAAAUUGUUAUUGCCCUUGUAGUUUCUAUUUAUAGAUAUCAAAGUCCUAACUUUACCACAUUAGAUAUUUCUACCUCAUACUUUAACGACACCAUGUAGCUUGUCUCAAUGCACGUGUAAAUUACAUACAUGGUAUCAGUUAUAGUAUAUAUUACAUUCCUAAUUCAUUUGAUACUUUGUCAGGGAGAUUACCAGCUGAUAUAGGUAGCAUAAAUCUGAAGGUACUUAAUGUCGAUGGAAAUCACUUGUCAGGUGUCAUUCCAUCUGAAGUAUUCAACAUAUCGACGUUGCAGAUUCUAGACUUAAGCAGGAACCGGCUCACAGGAACUCUUCCCUCAGGCUUGGGCCAUCAGUUUCCAAAUCUGCAAGAGCUUUAUUUAGGUGAGAAUGAGCUUACAGGAUCAAUCCCAAGCUCUAUCUCAAAUGCUUCAUCACUGGCUCGAUACCCGACCUUGGUAAUUUAAGACUUUUGAAGAGGCUAUUUCUAGAAGAGAAUAACCUUACAGGGGAAACUUCCAAAGGAGAAUUAAAAUUCCUGUCCUAUUUAACUAAUUGUAGACAUUUGGAAAAGAUAGAAGUGUCUUUAAAUCAGUUAAAUGGUGUCCUUCCAACUUCAUUAGGGAAUCUCUCUGCUAGCCUUCAAAUUUUCUCAGCAUUUGGAAGCAAAAUCAAGGGGACUAUACCUGUCGGAGUUGGAAACUUGACAAGCUUGACCGGUAUGUACUUGGAUAGCAAUGAGUUGACUGGAGUUAUCCCAAAUACAAUUGGAAAGUUAAAAAAUCUCGAACGUAUAUAUCUGGAAUACAAUAGACUGGAAGGGUAUAUCCCAACUGAUAUUUGCCAGUUAAGUAAGCUGGGGGAUAUCUACAUUAGUCACAACAUGAUCCGUGGAGCCAUACCAGCAUGUUUUGGUGAACUCAAAUCACUACAGAGAGUUUUCUUGGAUUCAAACAAUUUGACAUCUACCAUUCCAUUGAACUUUUGGAACCUGAAUGACCUUGUAGGUUUGAACUUAUCCACAAACUCUUUCAAAGGCUAUUUACCAUCAGAGAUCUCUAAUCUGAAGGUUGCAACAGACGUGGACUUAUCAUGGAAUCAAUUUUCAGGAGAUAUCCCCAGCAUAAUAGGCAGGGCGCAAUCAAUAGUUUACCUUUCUUUGGCACAUAAUAGAUUGCAAGGUACUAUUCCUGAAUCUUUGAGUAACUUGAUAAGCUUAGAGACAUUAGAUUUGUCGUCCAACAACUUGUCCGGAAUGAUUCCAAAGUCUCUCGAGGCAUUGAGGUAUCUCCGACACUUCAAUGUCUCUGUGAAUGAAUUGGAAGGAGAAAUUCCAUCAGGUGGAUGUUUUUCAAAUUUCAGUGCUGAAUCUUUUAGGCAAAAUCCUGAGCUAUGUGGAGUAGCUCGGCUGCAUGUUCUGCCCUGCCGGACAAAACAUUCCAAGUCAAAAAGUGUUUCAUCUUUGAUUAAAUAUGUUGUUCCCCCUCUCUUGUCAACAAUUCUCAUGGUGACUGUUGUACUUAUAUUGAUAAGAAAACGGAACCAAUACGUAAAGAUGAAAAUGGAGGAAUCACAGCUUGCUGCAAUUCUUUCACCUAAUGCAUACUUGAGAAAUGUUUCAUAUCUUGAACUUGUACGAGCAACAAAUUCUUUUCUGAAUCCAAUCUACUAGAAAAGGGAAGUUACGGUUCAGUUUAUCGAGGGGAACUCAACGAUGGAACAGAUGUAGCUGUAAAAGUUUUUAACUCAUUGACAGAAGAAGCAACCAAGAGUUUCUAUGCUGAAUGUAAGAUAUUGAGCAAUAUCCGUCACCGAAACCUUACAAAAAUCCUUAGUUGUUGUAGUACCACAGACUUCAAAGCUCUUGUAUUAGAUUACAUGCCAAAUGGUAAUCUUGAGAGGUGGUUACAUUCCCAAGAUUAUUGUUUAAGUAUGCUUCAGAGAUUGAACAUAGCAAUAGAUAUUGCUUCAGCUUUAGAAUAUCUUCAUUGUGGUCUAACAACUCCUAUUGUACACUGUGACCUGAAGCCUAACAAUAUCUUAUUAGAUGAAGAUAUGACUGCACAUCUUUGCGAUUUCGGGAUCGCAAAAAUUUUUGAGCAAGACAUGCAUAUGGCUCAAACCAAGACACUAGCCACCAUUGGUUAUAUGGCACCAGGUGAAACUAAAUCCAAAUCCUUCUUAUUCUGCUUUCUUUAGUAGUAAAUCAUUUUUUGGGUAUUUUGAAACAUACUAACUAUCAAAAAUCAUUCAUAAGCUACAUUGCUUGAAUCUGUCAGGAGCAAGAACUCCAUUUCAUUGAUCACUUAUCCCCAUAUUACCAAAUCCUUUUCAUGUCUAUGACCUUUAUUCACCAGAAAAUCUACACGUUUAUCCACUUUCUUCAUUCAUCUCUUAAAGUUUUUCCGAAAACAGCAUCUCCGGUUUGGAUCUUCACACUACCAUUAGUAUAUAGCUUAAUUUUUCUUGCACAAGGAGGACCAAGCAAUUAGUUUGACUUGUUUGGAUAUAGAGGUUUUGCAUAGGGAAAUACUUGAACAAUUUCCAUAGUGUAAUUUAAAUGUGUUUAGAUAUACAUUUCUUUCUAGUUAUCCCUCUAUUAUAAUUUGUUCGUCUUAUUUUCCUUUGAGUCCGUCUCAUAAAAACCACAAAACAUGUUUAAGACCACAAGAUUAAAAGAUAUUUGAUACAUUCUAAGGUUUUCUUCACUUUCUUAAUUGAAAUCCGUGUCAAGUCAAAACCAGACAAACAAAUUGAAACAGAGGGAGUGUAAUAUAAACUAGAUCUUAUGCUAUAUAUUUUUCUUAAAUUGUAAUGUCAUUGCAGAGUAUGGAACUCAUGGGAUAGUUUCAACAAGUGGAGAUAUCUACAGCUAUGGCAUUAUAUUGUUGGAAAUGUUUACAGGAAAAAAACCAACUGAUGAUAUAUUCGGGGAAACAAUGAACUUGAAAUGUUUCGUGGGCGAAAGCUUAUGUAGAAAAUCUUUAAUGGAAGUUCUGGAUUCUGAUUUGAUUAGAGAUGUUGAACAGUUCUCUGAAGUAGUACAACAGUUUGUGUCAUCUAUCUUUUGUUUGGGAUUGGAAUGUCUGAAAGAUUGUCCUGAAGACAGAAUGAGCAUUAGUAAUAUUGUGGAUAGCCUUAGAAAAGCUAAAAUUGAAUAUUUAGCAAUUAGAGGAAAGGCAGAAAAGGUGGUGUAAAUUUUCUGAUUGUGAAAAAUGUUGUAAACAUUUUGUUUUGUUUUGUAUUAGUGGUUACAAUGGGAGUUCUUUUCAAAUCUGUUUCUGAAAAUACUUUUUCUUGAGCCGAACAACGGUUGAAAAUAGUCUCUCUACCUCCCACAAGAUAUAGUGGAAAGGUUUGUGUAUUUGAUUUCCUUUUGGACCACAUAAGAAUUUGUCGUCCGAUUGAAUAUUCCUUUUUUCUCGAUGCUCUAUUGGAAAGGUUUGUGUAUUUGAUUUCCUUGGACCAUGUAAGAAUUCAUCGUCCGAUUGAAUAUAUUUUUUUUCCUCGAUGCUCUAUUGGAAAGGUUUGUGUAUUUAAUUUCCUUGGACCACAUAAGAAUUCGUCCUCCGAUUGCUAUUUCUUUCCUCCACAAUCUCUCUACCUCACAAGGUAAGGCGUAAGGUCUGAAUACAUUCCAAUCUCUCCAUGAAAAGAAGUCUUGCUGAGUUCCUCUUUUCCUGCUAUUGAACUUGUCCAAUAUCUACUUUAAAACCCGACUAAUUUCUUGCAAGAAAGUUCCACUUUGGAAGUAAAACACUUUUUACCCAAGAGGUGUAUUCAUGACUAGAACCCGAAACCUCUAAUUAAUAAGUUCUUCUGUCAUGAAGAGAUUAUUGUGGACUUCUGCAGUAGAAUUCAUCUAAUGAGAAUCCUAUAUAAACCACAAGCACACCUUUCCUAAUAAUCAAAAAGGUAAAAACUGUUAGAAUGAAAAAAUCUGUAGUCAUAAUUAUUAAAGAAUAUACCCUUCCACAAAAUUACUUAGUAUAUAGUAUAUACAUUCAUAGCAAUUACUGAAAACAUUUCCCUUACAAGUUAAAAAGACAAAUCUCUGGAUUAAGUAUUUGAUAGCUUACACCAAGUGUUCGUGUACACACAAUUCCAAUCAAUGGAGUAUCAUUUUUGUUAGAAAUGUUGAGUUUGUUACUUCCCAGAUCCCCCUUCUCCACCCCCAAACCAAAAAAAAUAAAAUGAGUGUGUUUGUAUUUACUCGAUGCUCUCCCCGUCAGUUUUCAGCUCCUACUUACAGUUUCUUUCCAUUUUCUGAUUUGUCAUAACAUAUUGACAUUCAAUUACUGGAGAAGAAUCAAUUGAAAUCUGCCUAGACUUUGUUGAUGUUCAAUUUCUUUUUUUUGAUGAACUCAUCAGACUGCAGUUACAGUAUAAAUCACGCUAUCAUCCAAGUUGCGCUGAAAGCAAACCAAAUGCAAUAUUCCUCUUCAAACAUUUUGUGAUUCUGCAAUACUACAGGGUGCUUAAAUGAGAUUGCUUUAUCGAGCAACUCAGCAGAUAAGAGAGAACCUGAAUGGUCCUCUACUAGGAAGGCUCAUGGUAAGGUUUGGUUGACGAGCCCCAUUGAUAUUGCAACUUCUUUGGAUGCAAAAGUAUCAGCUUGUUCCUGCAAUGUCACAUUAGAUCAUUAUUUGUUUCAAUGUCUUUACAUUAUCAUUGAAAAUAAUACUUGAAGAAAUACUAGAGCAGGUGCCUCUCUGCUGAGAUAUUUAAAUAUAAUCAGAUCUAUCGACUACAUGAAUUCUAAGAAUCAGUAAAACAUAAAAUGGGCAUGCCAAUGUACAUGCACUUGUGCCUAUAUGAGAUACAGAACAUCAUCCCACAAAUAAAGAUAUUUUAUGUACAAUUUCAAAACACAGUCUAAAAUUCACGAGACAGGAAAAGCUUUAUUAACGUAUACCUUUUAUACAUAUGUUACAAAUGGAAAACAAAGGUGCAGACUCUAUAAGUGUUAUGACAAAGUAAAUGGUAAGAGAAGUGGAUUAAGAGAUGUGUCAUUGUCAUACAAUACCAACACAACUACACCUCAAUCCCAAGCAACUCUGGGGUCGACUAUAUGAAAACUUUAUAUCCAUUUUGCUCCAUUUAGGCCAGUCUCGUUUCAAAACCCAAUUAUAUUUGUUAAGACAAACCGCAGUUCUCAAAAUGUAGAGGUAACCUGAACGUUUAGUGACAAAAGAAUCUCUGGACAAACUCAAAACACUCCUAGAAAACACCAGACAUGAUUGUAAAUCCAACUAAGCCUAAAUUCAACUAGUAGGGAUCACAUAUAUGAACUUUUUUGCUGUUAUUGAGUUCUAUUAUUUGCUACGUCUGUAUGGAUUUUGAGAGAUUCUAAAUCUUUUAAUAAAACUUCCUUCCAUGUAAUCAUGAGGCCUAUCUUAUUCUUUUUUAACACCUUCAAUCAGCUAAGUUUCAUCAAUUAACAUAAUAUCAUCCACAGAAAUCCUUUAUCAAAAAGAAAUAAAAAAUCAUCCACAGAAAUUAUGCAUCAUGGAGCCUCAUUAGCUAGACACUCAAUUAUCAAACUAGGGCGGAAGCUCAAAUAAUCAUACCUGAAGGCGAUGCAAUAGAUACAUCAAGAACAAAUGGACAAACACCUGUCAACAGUACCAUAUACCUCAUUAAAUAGCAGGUACAAUUUUACAUCAAUUCACUUCAAACAUUCAACAGACACUAAGGUUUUUCCAGAGUAAAUGAUCUGUUCUAACCAGAUAAAAAAGCAAGAUAACUCGAGCAGUUGGAUAUCGCCAGAGAAAUCGUGUUGCCCUGACAGCCCCGGAAUCCAGAAGCUUCGCAGCCUUCUGUAACUGCACAGCGAAGUUUAAGUCAUAUACAAAAAUAGUACAAAUAUAUGGCUCUCUUCCAGUUAAGUACAAAACUUGUACUCUUUUUUUUCAUGCUUCUUUUUACCCCCUAGUGUGAGGAUGUGGAUGUGGAAAAUAGGAAAGAGCUUACCUGUAUCGUCGCCCUAGUCAUGUGUCGAUGAUGUAAAGGGAGAGGCCUGUAAUAUUAAAAUGUUUCAGAAAAGCACGUCAUGCUCAGAGGAACUUGAAAACUGGGAGGCUUCCUUUAUUUUCCGAUAAAUAAAACUUUGAAGGCUCACUGAACAGCCUAUGAAUUCUGAUCACGUGUUACAACUACAAAAGGCUUAUAAAGUGAUUCCCUCCAUCCCAAAUUUGUGUGGAGCGACUGGAAUUUCGAGAGUUAACCAAGUUUUUCUUUGAUCGAAAUUUCUUUAUAUGUCUUUCAAAUAUUUUAAGUUGUUAAUUAUUGUGAUUUAUAGUACUUUUAACGUAGUUUUCAAUUAUAUAAAUUUUAUUUUAAAAACUUAAAGCUUCUAUGUCUGAAUUCAUGGUCAAAGUUUAGAAGUUUAAAUCUCAAAAUUCCAAUUGUGCCACAUAAACAGGGAUAGAGGGAGUAAUUUUGACGCAAAUGAAUUACUUUUUACUUGUUUGAUUACUGAUCAAAUUAGACUUUGAAGCAAAUGAAUUCACAUUAUUGUAACAUAUUUUUUUAUAUCUAACAUGAUAGUUUCAGUUGUCCUUCAUUUUAAGUUAAUGAUGGCAAUAAACUUGGAAUUCUUUUUAAUUUUUAGUAGUGUGUCUGAUCAACUAACCCACCUCGACAAUUCCACUGGAUACUGGGAUCCUCCCACUGUGCCAAUUUUGGCAUAUUUAUUUAAAACAAGUUCUUUCUUAUUCAUUGAAAAAUUAAGAUCGCACCAAACAAUUAAUAUAUUCUUUGCAACCACAUUGUUCCUCCAUUUACUCUUUCGUUUAACCAGGCAGGAGAUGCCAAUUUCUUCAACUUUCUUUGGGUGAAAAAAAAAAAGGAAAGGCUGAGCUGGAAAAGAAAGUUCAAGAAAUAAUUUUAAUGAACCAAUUUCACAUUUUCCUAAUGGACAGGACUGGCCAAAGUAUAACGGGAAUCAAGGUCUAAUAAUGAAGGAAGAGAUUCAAAAGUGUCUCCCAAAAGCAUAAAGUAAAUUCUUAAUAGUAACAUACUCAAGUGCUUUGAUGUCAGUGUCUUCCUCCCACGAGGAUGAUGCUCGACGAGAAGAUCUGUUUCUUUCAGCUUCUAACUGUUGUAAGAGAAAUUCUUAAGUAAUUUAACCCACUUUAUCAAACUGCAACUGUAAAUACAAGGAGUAGAAUGUAAUGCAAUGCCAAAAUACUGAUAAACUUAAGCACAAACCUGUACUUCCUGACGACGCUUUGCUUCCUUCUCCAACUGAAACGCAGCCGCAGCUUUUUCACUGGCCAUGGCUUCAAGCUGUGUUUGCUUGUAAUACUGAACUUGCAGGCAAGAAAUACAGCUUAUUAAGUUACCAACAGUAAAUAAUGGGAACUAUAUAGAGCAUACAUGAAUUAGUUUAAUCUUACUUACCAAUAGAUCAGUUAAUUCACGAUACCGCUUUUCAAGUUCCACAUGUUCCUAUUACCAGCAGCAAUAGAUUCCAAUAUCAAUAUGUAUUUAAAGAUUGAUAAAUGAGGAUAUCAAAGUCAUACAAAGCACAAAAGAAGAGAGAUAACAAGCAAGAACGAAAAUUCCAUCACAUUCACGUGUUAAUACCUAAAAGCACAGCCUUGGUGACUUACCAAUAUAUGGAAAAAAGAACAUAAAAGGUAUGACACAAUUAUUUUUAGAUUAUUGCUCAAUCAUUGACAUAUAUAAGACUAAAAAGCAGGGAUGGGCACCAAAAAUUUCGUAGCUUCUAUGCUGCCUUUGCUCAAGGAAAGCGCUCUCUUAAAGUAACAUCAUGUUGCUAAUUCAAAGUUUGUAAUAGAAAAAGAUACUGUGUGAAUGGCCUAGUGAUAAAUAUCUUGCCACCUGUGACAAUAUCUCUUCUUACAUUUCAGUGUUCUAAGACUAAGAGCCUGUUUGGAUUGGCUUAAAAGUUGGUCAAACCUACUUUAAAGUCAUUUUUAGCUUUUGAGAGUGUUAGACAAAGUUGAAAAUAACUUAAAAUAAGUUUAAAAUGACUUAAAACCAAAAGUUGGACUCUUCCUACUUUUUAUUUUUGAAGUUAAAAGUCAUUUAAGUUUGACUUUAAAAAGUUACUUUUUAAAAGCUAUUUUUUUUGGCCAAUCCAAACGGGCUCCAAGUAUAAUUCACGUACCAUAUUUACACCCCAAACCUACCUCAAUCUACAACUAAGUUGAAAUGACGAAGUCUCAAAAUUUAUCAACCACCAAAAGUUAAUGUAGACUAUGCGACUGAAAAAUGCUAUAAAUUGCAAUAAAAAGUAGAAAUUUUACGCCCAUAACCAAAUUAGUGCAUAUAUAUUCAUCGAGAAAGGAUCCAUCCCUCAUUUAAUCUAAAGCAGAAAAACAUCUGCAAACACAAGAAGAUGUUUUCCCCCAUCAGCAGAUUCCUAUUGCAAUUUGGGAUCAAAUUAAGAGGGAAUAGGAGUAGAAGUCCAUCAAAAUCACAGUGGAGUAAGUAUCCACUAAGGCCUAUUGACAAGAAUUCAAGUUCUAUCACAACAUUGGUUUGGCAAAUCUCUUUCCCUAUGUUGUUUCGGUAGAUCAAGGUGAGUUUCAGAUCUGAGCUUCUCACCCUCUUUUGGGUAGGCAAGGAAUACCAUGUAUUGAAAUACACUACUGUGAUGCACCUUUUGAGCUACCAAAGCACAAGAACAAUUGUGCAACAUACAAUGCUCAAAUUAUCGAGGGCAAAAAGAACUAUUCAUGCCUGAAAGAAAGAGCUCACAGGAAAUUCAUUUAGGAUAGACACUUUAAAUGGCUGAGAAAAUAUGUGAUCUUCUGAUAGAAUACCAUUAGUUUGACUGUAUGAGUUGUAAACUCCUUAAUCCUUAUAUGAUCUUUGGGCAAUUCUCAUCACUUGAGCUAGCUUUCGAGAAUGAGUUUAGGGCGAAGGUCCAUUUCCUUAACAUUGUACCAAAGCAAUAUUGGGCUAACCAAUGUUGGAACACCCACAUUUUACUCCCUUAGAGAUAUCCAGCCUUAGGGGUAUGUAAGAUCGUUUAUAAUCUACUUAUAUGGUCUUGGUCAAUCCUUGUUACAUGAGCUACCUUUUGGAAUUGUGUUAGGCCCAAAGUCUAGUUUCUUCAUAUGAUAUUAGAGUAGACAGUGGUCCCAGGUUCAAUCUCAUUACAAUUUACAACCCAUUAUCAAAAUAAAUCACAUGCUUAAAUCAAGAGUAAAAAAAGGGAUCAUGACAGCAAAUGAGGAGAGUGUUAAGACAUAAUCAAAUAUAUCCUCUUUAACAGCUUAAACUUUAGAUAAAGUAAUCAUACAAUUUAACAUGGAAUAUCAAGAAAAUGGGCUUGGGUCUAACUACAUGCCAAAAUUUAUCUCAUGUUAUGAAGACUUUCAAGGGCCAUACAAGAAUACAAGAAUACCACUACUAAUACACUAACCCAAUGUGGGACCAUAACACUCGCUUCACGCCUGAACUAGAUAUUUGGAGCGUGGAGUAACAUAACAUGGAUGACCAAACAUAACACAACUUAUUUUUAGGGAUAGUUGUGGCCCUGAUACCAUGUUAAGAUAAUGAACCUACGGCAUAACUCAACUCUAAAGUUGGCUCAAGUGGCAAGAAUUCUCCAAAACUAUGUAAGGAGACUACAAACUAUGCACUUAACUUAUGUGGAAUCUGACACUCUAAACACCUCAUAAUACUUUCAGGCAACAUGCAUGGGUAUUCCAAUCAUUAAAGAAACACCUUAACACCCCCAUAAAUCUUUCAAGCUACGUUGCUCAGACUCAUCAAAAAUAUUGUUGAAUGUGUCGGGUCCUCCAAAAGCUAUGCAUUUUUGGAUGGUCCGACAAGAGUGCGGCAGAAUUUUCGGAAGGUCCAAGCAACCUAGCUUUCAAACGACAUGCGUGAGUAUUUUGAUCAUGCUAUUCGUCACCAACUUUGGCAUGGAUUAAUUUACUACUACAACACAAAGCUAUACGAACUCUAUUCACUUCGUAAAUUUUGAAUUGAGCAUUGGAACCUCAAUUUUUAUUUUAUUUUGGGACAUCCAAAUAUAUAACCAAGUACGCUAUUAAAGUUUACUUUAUAUAUCUAGCUUUUGAGACAAAUAAAUAUCAGGACUACUAAAUUAAGCUAAGUGAAGGGUACUAUUGGAGCCAAAACUGAUGAUGAUCUAUCUGUAUCUACCUGAAUAAGUUGAUGCCCACUUAAAAGUUGAAUACCCGAGGUUAAACUAAGUAGAAGAUGAACUGUGUGGAAGAUCAGGAAGUCCCAAAUCUUUUUGGUAAGGGCAAAAGCAAGAGUUUACCGGGCGAGAGUAAUGUUCAGCAUCCCUUUUCAUGGCAGCUGUUUCAACUCUUAACUUUUGCAUUUCAGCCUAAAGUCAAUAGAAAAAUUACCCAUUAAUGAUCAUCAUUAAGGCUGAUACUUAGAGCAAAAGAUCAUUAUAUUUACGAUAAAAAACGAACAAGUACAAUAUUAGCACACACUAGUUAAUGUUUGAGCCAAACUAUAGAGCAAUAAACUUGCCUCCAAAGAAGCAAGUUUGCUUUCAGCCUCCCUCUGACCUUGGCGUGCACGCUCCACUUCUUCUUGCCAUGCCUGCACCUGCAUGUUCAGAAAAUGAAGUUAAAACAGACAUCUGGAGGGUGUCUGUUUUAUCUAGCUUACUGUGAUGAUUCAGUUUCAAACAGUCUCAGGUUGCAAUUGAACAAAGGAUUAUGAAAAUUGAUGGAAACAUCUAUGUAUAUCAAGGAUCCAGUUGCAUGUGUAAACUUUUUAACUGCAGCACACAUGACUGAUAAUGUCAAACACAAAGGUCCCUUGUCUUAGUUGAGAAUUGUAAGUUUCAUAUUUACGAGAUUCCAUGACAGUUCUCCAGGCAUAAUAUGUAGAAUAGGCAUGAAAACACCUAAUUUUGCAUGAGUUACAACUUCAAUAUCAGAGCAUAACAAUUUACUUAGUAAGAUGAGAAUUUCUCUCUUUGUAAUCUUUUUCUAACUGAAGUGUAAACUUUUUAACUGCAGCAAGCAUGGCUGAUAAUGUCAAACACAAGGUCCCUUGUCUAAGUUAAGAAUUGUAAAUUUCAUAUUCACAAGAUUCCAAGACAGUUCUCCAGGCAUAAUAUGUAAAAUAGGCAUGAAAACACCUAAUUUAGCAUGAGUUGUAACUUCAAUAUCAGGAGUAUAAUAAUUCACUUAGUAAGAUGAGAAUUUCUCUCUUUGUAUAUCUUUUUCUAACUCAAGUGUUUUGCUGCCACCAACAAUUUUACGUUUACUUGUAUCUUCAAAUUCCUGGUUCUCUCAUGUUACUUCAAAAUGCAUUCAUGUUAAUGACAAUUAUAGAACCUGAAGCACUUGAUUUGCCUCUUCUGAGGACUUCUUUUGUCCACGACGAGUACGAGCUUCCAUUUCUUGCAGUUCUUGAUUUAGAGUUGCACAUUCAACCUGCCAGAUUCAGACACCCUUGGAUAAGUUGAGAAGUGCUGAAGAAAUCCUUUCAUUAUUCUUUUAGGUGUCAUCAUUUCCAAUUAAGCCAAAGAGCCACAUAAAGGAUUUUCUUUUUUGACAAGGAAAGAGCCACCUAAAGGAUGACAUCCAAAAAUAUAUUAUUUACCUCAAGCAGUGCCACCUUCUGCUCAAACUCUGUUGUCUUGGCAGUCCUUUCAUCAGCUGUUCUCUAGUGCCAAUAAUCAUACAAAAAUUUUAAGACAUCUUUACUUCAUUGAAUAAUAACAAUCAUGCAUGCAAUAGUAAUGAGAUUAUGUGCUGCCAAAUGAAAGGAACUUAUGAUGUACAAGUAGUCAGUACAAACAAUAAACCAAUUGCUAGGAACACAGGUAGAAUUAAAGAGAAGCUAAUUGCUUCAGUUCUUUGAGAUUCCUGCUUAAGACCAAAUGACAAGUACUAGAACCUAGCCCACUUAAGCACGAUGACUGAAGUGGUAGUAUGGACCAAAGACAAGCUGUUGGGAAAAAAAUUGAAAGUAAAAGUAAUCCCUCUUCUUUUCAUAAUGUCACGACAACGUCUUAACGAUGGAUAACUUAGAAAUGGUUACAAUAAAUUAUUACUAUCAAUUACAAUGUAGACAAUAUGUUCAUGCCACAAUUCUAGCUCUUAGAGUCAGGUCAAAGUCAACCUCUUAUUAUCAACUUAUCACUACCAUAAAUUCACUCCCUAGAAAAACAAAUUAUCAAAGAGCAGGAUACUGCAUCAUAACCCAAGCAAUGCAUUACAAGAACACUAGAACUUUUCAGCGAAAGUUCACAUCUUUAUUCUAUUCAGGCUAAUACCAUGCUGGCUUGUCAUUAUAUGUGGAAGGAAACAGCUAAAUCCCACUGUUACAAAAGCAAUAGCAUGAAAAAAUCGAAGGAUCAUAAAUGUGUACUUUAUUACAAUUCAUGAUGUAACAGCAUAAAAGAUUAUACUUGAAGAUGGAGAAUACCUGCGCCCUAGCCAAGGCUGUGGAUGCCUCUAAAGCUCGGUGCUCCAGUUCUACCUCCCUUUCCAUAAAAGCCUAUUAUUACAGACGAAAUGAAUUACUAAAUUGCAAACAGCAUAUCUCCAUUAUCCUUCAACAACAACAACAAACCCAGUGUGUGGGAUCUGGUGCUAAACAUCCAGAGUUUGGCAGAUAUACUAGGAUGCAAAGUGGAAAUCUGCUUACAGUUUACUUGGGCAUGCCUCUUGGUUACCAACAUGAAGAGAUAGUUAUAUGGGAUGUCAUAAUAGAGAAGGUUGAAAAAGAUUGACACGGUGGAAGAUUCAAUACUUAUCACUAGGAGGAAGGCUCACUCUCAUAAAAUCAGUCCUUGAUUCUCUACCUUAUUAAUCUCUUCCAUUGGAGCAACUUAUCCCUUGUAAAUGAUAUAUUACCCCUCUUAGAUUUCAUUAGCUCCCUCAAUAUGGCUUAGCGACCAUUCUUUUGCUUGUGGUUAACUCCCUGAUUAAAUAGUGUUUUUGUUCUCAGGAGUUAACCAUGUUUUUGUGUAUGUAGUUUGCAUCUCCUUGAUGCCUUUCUAAUACAACAUCUUACUUCAUCAAAAAAAAAUGUCCUUGUUCCCCCUUCCCAAGAAGGUUUUGAAGAAACUGGACAAACUUAGAAGGAAUUUCCUUUGGCAUGGUUGUAAGGAGAACAAUGGAUACAACCUGGUGAAAUGGGAUACUACACUGAACAAUAGAUACUUGGGAGGUUUGGGUAUCAGAAACCUAAAGAAACAAAAUGAUAGCCUUCUGAUGAAAUGGCUCUGGAGAUAUAAUGAUGGAAAACAGGUUUUAUGGAAGGAUGUAAUUAAGUGCAAAUAUGGUGAGAACAACCCUUGGUGCAGUAGUGAAAGUUCUUUACCUUAUAGGGUUGGGGUAUGGAGAACAAUCAGAGAUCUUUGGCCAAUGAUAAAAGAGAACACGGUAAUUAAAGUGGGAGAUGGGAGAAAAACAAAGUUUUGGGAAGAAGCAUGGAACACCCAGAUCCCUCUGAAAGAUAUUUUUCCGGACCUGUUCACCAUCAGUAACAACCCUGAAGCAACUGUCAAAGAGUGUUGGACUGAACAGGGAUGGGAUCCAUCUUUUAGGAGAUUCUUGAAUGACUGGGAAGUGGACAAAGUGGCCAACCUACUCCAUGAAAUAGGGGACUUCACGGGAACUACUUCAGCCCCAGAUUCUAUGAGAUGGAAGCACAAAGAAGAUGGGAAUUUCUCUGUUAAAGGGGUCUAUGAACAGUAAAUACAACAAAACAGAAAACAACAAGGUUUAUGGGAAAAUGUCUGGAAAAACAUCGCAACAACAAAAAUAAAAUGUUUCACAUGGUUGGUUGUCAGAAAAGCUUGCUUGACACAAGAGGUUUUGAAGAAAAAGAGGAGAAUUGUAGCAUCUACAUGUCAACUUUGUGGGAAAAUAAAUGAAACAAAUAGGCAUCUUUUCUUGCACUGUAAAUUCACUGCUCAGUUGUGGAAUUUAUUUCUUACUCUCACAGACACAAAAUGGACCAUGCCUGAGCACACUGCAGAUCUACUCAGCUGCUGUAUUAGAAGAGGUGGAAGCAAGAGCCAGAAGAGAUGGUGGAAAAUCAUUCCACAUUGCAUCUGGUAGACAGUGUGGAGAGAGAGAUAUAGCAGACGUUUUGAAGAUAAGUCCAAUUCCAUUCAUAGAGUUAAAUGGAAUUGUAUUGUAUCUUUGUUCUUCUGUUGUAAACAAACAAAUAUAGAGGAAUUAGAGCUUGUAGAUCUGUUAGGCUCUCUGUAAGUAGUUUCUCCCUUUCUCUCUUGUUUUUGUUUGUUUUGUUCCCCUUUUGAAGGUCUCCAGCAUAUCCCUAAUGCUGAGGAAUACAACAUUUACCAGUUUCAAAAAAAAAAAAAAAAAAAAAGUGUACGCUGACCUUACCCCUACCUUUGAGAAGGUAGAGGGUUUUUUUCAUAUAGACCCUCGGCUGAACGAACAGUGAAAAAGAGGCAAUAGCAACAAGUAGAAACUACAGCAAGGUAAUAAGAUGCCGAGGCAAAAGAAACAAUACGUAGUGAUGGAAACCUAAACAUAAGGGAAAAGGAAUAAUACUGAUACUCUGAGAAAGGGGGCACUGCGGAUGCAAUUUUAGAAUCAGAGAGGGAGCAAGGGAGGCGCAUUGGAAACACAUCUAUGCAGAUUAAAGCAGAAAUCCUAUAUUAGGGAGGAAUGAGAAGUUCUCUGCUAUUUUGACUAAAAUGAUCCACAGCCAGUGUGAUAAAGUUGUUGCAGAUUUCAGGAUAUAAACUUGUAGUCGCUCAAGACUUUAAAUCACUUUUCAAAAUCUGAGUACAAAUAUUUAGCUACUUCUUUUUUAGAAUGCUCAGUAAGUAAGUUUUCAGUUAUAAACCUUUUUGGUAGCAUUAUGAGCAGCACGCUCUUCUUCUGAUCUUCGCUCUGCAGCACCCAGCUCCUCCCUUAAAGCCUGAGCACAUAAAAUUUUCUCACCGGUCAGGAAAACUGUAGUAAUAAAGGUGUUCAGGAGCAGCAAAACAGAGUAAGUAAUAUCCAAAAGUUGUUGUGAAUAGAGAUCCACAUACUUGCAUCAUCCUUGUCUCCGUUAGUUCCCUGUUUCUCAUUAAAGACUCCAUAUUAGCCUGAAAAAAAGCAGACAAAACUCAGCCUUCCUUUCCAUUUAAAAUAAUUGAUUUCCUGGUACACAGUGGUAAAAGAGCUGAUAGCUCAAGUCCUCACAGGAAGUCCUUUUUAAUUAUAGAAGUUUCACUUGUAUUGGCCAAGGAAAGCACCAAUAGACACAAUUCCAAGUACCAGAAUUUUAAAGUGAAGUCAUAACAAUAAAUCAAACUGAUGCAGAUGAACCCAGAAAUAAAAACAGAUAGAACGAGAGGUCACUUCACAAGUGCGGCAGUACAACCCUAUAAUAGGUAGUUUGAAAUGAACCUGCAAUGAUGCCAGGUUUCCUUCGGAGAGUGCAGCUUGCUUCUUAAGUGCAUCCGUAGAACUAACAAGAGCCUCAAUUUCAGCAUUCUUUGCAGCAAGAGCCUCAGCCAUACUGGACUCCGCCCUUGACACCUCUUUUUUGGCUGCAGAUAAAUCUUUCUGAAGCUGCUUUAUCCGAGCCUCGCAAGAUUUACUCAAUUCCCUCUGUCACAUCAGAAUAAAUGACAUAUAAUCAAGACUUGAAUGCGGUUAUUUUAGAAACUCGGGAACUCUCCAAUCAAAUGCCCAUAUUCACCUCUGCUACAAGAAGCUCCUCUAGCUGAGCAUUUUCAGAUUUAUACUCCUGAAGACGUGAUGAAAGUCCAGCACAAACCUGCACAUUUGAGUUAAAGUACGAUAAUCUGUGAAUAUAAAUUUCCGCAAAACAAGAACCUGUUACACAGCAGAUGACCAAAAGAUCAAAAAAGGAAAAAAUGUUAAUUAUAUUAUGAUCAUGAUAAUGAAUCUAUUCAACCAUUUACGCUGUUCACAUAAUUUCUCAAGCAAAGUCGCCUCCCAACUAUCCAUAUCAGGAGUUUUUUUUUUAUAAAGCCAUAACAGGAAUUUGAACUACUUUUCAUCUCUCAUGAUAGGUAAAUUAGGAUGCGACGAGAUUAUUUAUGUUCGUAGCAUUUAACCUAUUGACACUUAAGAAGACAAUCUUACAGCAUAACUCAAAUUAACACGGAAUACUGCUCUCUCCUUCUCUUCUCUUUUCUUUUGAGUGAAAAGGAGACCUUCAAUUGAUGAUAUUAAUGCUCAUUAAUCUUUGCAACAUUAAUAUUAUACGUACGUCCAACUUGAGAAAGUAAUAUUGCUGAAAUGAAGUCUUUGAACAAAUCAUAUUCAUAAAAAAAAAAAUGGGUUCGCAAAGGUUCAUUUAAUUGAAAAUUUUGAAGGGCAAGACAAUACUGCAUUUACAUGUACUAACAUCCAGCACCAUUUUACAAGUAGUUGGUGAGAAAAACCAAACCAAAGGUAAAUUCAGAAGCUAGUUGCCAGAUUAAAUUUCUAUUUCUCUAAGUUAAAUAGCAGCUAUUUCUUUGAAAAACACUCUGAAACGGCUUCUUCGAGAAAAAAGUUUUUUGGAAAUACUUUUUGGGGAAACUUCUUUAAAAACUUAAAUGAAUAUGUUUGUCGAAUUCCCUUUUUGCAUCAUUUCGAAAAAAUAUGCACAAACAAAAGCACCCUAGCAUUCUAAAUCAGAGGCAAAUGAAGUAAUGAACUCUUACACGGGCUAACCGUGCUUCUUUUGACUGACCGGUAGAAGUUGCAUUCUUAAGCAAUCCCUGAGCCUGAAGAAAUAAAUGUAGUCAAAAGAACUUAUCAAAAGACCUAGAAAUACACCAAAAAGUUAGCUUAGAAAACAGACUCUACCUCUUCAAGUUGCUCUUGUUCUUUCAUGGAUGACUUAACAGUUUUACGUUCUGGAAGCUGCUUCUCGCCUGGAUUAACAGUUUUAUGUUCUGGAAGCUGCUUCUGGUCUAAAUCAGGUUCAGCAUUGGUUUUAGCAUCCGUCAUCUGCCUAUCAAUUUUACCAGGUUGAUCUGCAGUUAAAGAUAUAGAUCUUUCCUGCUGAAAGUUCACAGGAGAUCCUGCAUCAAGAAGAACUGUGUUUUGACUGGAAUCUACGGGAGACUUGUCUUGCACAGUAUCAACCACUUUUGCAGUAGGCAAGAGAAGAGUCUCUCCAGGAAUAUCUGGGGUGUUUCCACUUGUAUGCUCACCAGUAGAUUCUGAACUCACAACUCUUACAUCAACAGGUUCUGCUGCUUCCAUGUGAUCAGCAUGAUGAUUUAACUCAUUGUUAGAGGCUGUUUCAGAUAUAGGAGCAUCCAAUGACGCACCAUCUUCAGAAACUUUUAGCUUAUCUUCGGUGCUAGUUUUGCUGCUAGGACUACCUGGAUUUGUCCUACUAUCUUCAGUAAGUACGAUCGCUUUAUCUUUAUCAGAGGCAAUAUCUGACUGUGACAUCCCUUGGCUAGUUUGUUCCCUUUCAAAAUUGACUGGCUCUGAAGGUUCACUAGAAGAGAGUCGUUUUUGAGGCUGCAAAGAAUCUCAUUGUUAAUAUUCUGAAAACUGUCAGUAGAUAAAAUAGCAUUGUACUGAAAAUGAACACACUACCUUCUUUUUAUUCCUUGACCUUUUUGGUUGAGAUCCUUUUUCAUUCGGAACUAAGCCAAAGAAAAAAACAAAAAGAUGAUGUAUUCACCAUCCGCAGAGGCUACUUUAAAAAUAAUAAUGUAAUAAAAAGGGAAGUUAGAGGACUCUUAAAUAAACACAUUUCUUUUCCAAUCAGCAUGAUCGCAAAUAGAAUCCAAAAUGUGCAUCUUGCAGUAUCCUACUGCUUUCAGUUAGUGUACCAUUAUUUUUAUCAAAGACAAAAUCUGAUUGAGAUAUCCCUUGGCUAGCUUGUUGCUUUCUCUGACUGUUGCUAAAGGUCCAUGAGAAGAGAGUCGUUUCUGAUGCUAACUACAAGAAUUCUUAUUUCUUAAACAGGAAAUUUCUAAAGGGCCUGUUUGGAUUGGCUUAUAGCAUAGCUUAUAAGCCAUAAGUUAGAAAUCCUAACUUAUGUUUUGGCUUAAAAACAUGUGCUUAAAAAAACUUUUUUAUUUUAUCCAAGCACUAGAACAGUGCUUAAAAGCACCUAAAAUAAGUCAAUCCAAACUGGCUUUAAACCAGUUCAAAAGCAGAAACCAGAAGGUGCAUUUUGAGGUUGAAAAUUUUAUAAUAAAGGAAGCAACACUAUAAAAGUUAUACCUGGACUCCGAACAUUGGGCUGUUCAUCAGAAUUCUCGCCGACUACACUCUUUGCCCUCUUAUCUACAACCUCAAACAAAUCUGAUACAACAAAGUACAUUUCACCUUUUUAGGAAAUCAUACAAGAACUGGAAAAAUCUACCAUGUUGAUGAGUUAGAAAUCGAUAACCCCGAAGAAGAUUACAAGUCAAUUAGGGUACAUUUCUAUUAGCGGAAGCUGGUUGUUAAUAUAUAAUUUCUCAUUUUUCUUAUCAGAUUGGUACAAUGGGAAGUAGGAAUACUUUGAGAAUCCAUAAAAGCAGAAUGUACUUAAAACAAUCUUUGGUAGUGAGUGGAAACAGGCUUUUUGUACAGCAUCGAGUUCCAUUUACAAUUACAAGCAGCAUGCACAUCAACAAACUUGCAAUGCAGUAAAAUCUAUCAAAAUCAAACUAAAAGAAAACUUGUGAGCAACUUAUAAUUUAUCAACAUUAGAAGGGAAAGGGUCAAAUUUUGCCUCUUUAUUAUACGAAACUGAUCAACUUUGUUCCAUGUUAGACUUUUCGUUUAACAUUGCCCCACCAUCAGGAGAAGGUCUCAAUUUUUCCCUCGAUUCCCUAAGCAAGCUCCAACCUAUGGUAAUAUUAAACAGUAGUCGAAAGUUGCGGGGUAAAUCUAGACCUUUUUUCUCAAAUAAUUUGGACAUGUUGCGUUCAUUUUGAUCUCCAUUAAAGGUAAUGGAAAACAUGAGACAAUGGGUUAACAACAAGGGUAUGAAAGUGACAUGGAGGACACAAUGAGCACUUCCGGUUGUAUAUGAGCAAAGUUAGACCUUUUCCCACAUUAAAAUAGCCAAAGCUGUCUAUCCCACAUCUCAUAAUUCAAUUUCAACACCAACUACUAAAUAAACUCAAACUUCAUGCAUCCCAGCUCAGCUACUGAGUCUGAAGCAGAUAUUGCAUUCACUAAAGGUGUGCCUCCCUAGUGGUCAAUGAAGUGACUUAAAACCAGUAAGUCUUAGGUUCAAAUCCCAAUACAGACAACAUUAGGUGAUUUCUACCCAUAUGUCCUAGCCUUAGCCUUGAUGGACAAACUUACCUACUACCUGUUGCUAGUAGGAAGUGGCAAGGCAAGUAAGUAUCCCAUGAGUACACCCAACAAAAAAAAUUAUCUUUGACUUUAUUGUCAAAAAUGAAAAUUUAACACCUUAAACCAACACUACAAGCAACAACAACAACAUACACAACAUACAGUGUAAUCCUACAAGUGGUGUCUGGUGAGUAUAGAGUGCACACCCUACCUUGGGACAAGUUAAAGAGACUAUUUCUAAUAGACUACACACAAAAACGCAAACUAAAUUCCCAAUUAAAAUACACUCACUAGUCUAUGCCAGGUAAUCACAUUUCUACAAAAUCAUCUUAAAUGUAUAUAUAUAUAUAUAUAUAGACACCAUAGACACUGAUCUCACAUGCACAUACUGCUACGAACACAUAUAUAUAACAAUUCAUCAAUAAAAUUGACAUACCUAUAUACAUUAAACAAUGCAUUCACCGAUUUCAACAUUCUGGAUCCGCCUUAACAAUAUCACUUAAAUAAAAAAAAACAAAAAAAAAUCAACCAAAAAAAAAAAACUCAUACCUUCAGCAGCUCUGAGCCACGAAGCCAUUGAUGGAAUAACUGAAGCAGUGUAUAUUCACCUAUAUAUCAAUCAUCAAAAUGCAAUAAUACAUAGAAUUCAAAAUUUUCUGAGAACAAAAAAAAUCUGCAGAAACUCAACAACGAAGAAGCCAAAUUGAAUAAUGAAAAAGUGAGAAACGAAAUUUUUUAAAAUUUAUUUUUGCUUUUUUCAGAUCGCAAAUUGUAUAGUUUGGCUGUUUCUCUCAAUAUGGAAUCGUUAGUUAGGAGAUCUCUGUUAGCAAAAGAGGAAGAAGGAAAGAGAGUUGAUUCGGUGUUGUCGCAAAUAUGGCAACUAAGGUAGGACCGUGUGAGAAAUUUGGGAACCCCGACCCGGGAAAUAAAUGGGUCGUUUGAGCCCAAGUUAAUUGGGCCUUGAUUUUGGAUUAGAUAGAGGAAAAAUUAUGCGACGUGACAAAUGUUUACGUUGUAUUUACGAAAUGUAGAUAUGGUUUUAAAACGAUUAUGAGACGUAGCUAUUAGUACUUAUGCAAUAUGUGUUGAUAUAGCUUUUUCACAUUAUUUUCAGUUGAUAUAGUAUGCGAUGAUACCAUUGAUAUAUGUCUCAUACAGUUAAGUUGAUAGUCGUUUGAUACAAUCUCGAAGCCCUACCCUUUUGAAAAAAGUUAUGCUAUUUAUAAAUGGUUAAAAUUAUUUUUCUAUGUAUGUGUAAUAGAUGUUGAACCCCUAUCGACUAGUUUGCCUAUUUACUUCUUCAUAUUUUGAACUCCCUUAGUGAAAAUUUUAGCACCGUCAUUGAAUACAAUGAUACAAAAUUAUAGUUAUGUCUCAUAAAUAUGCAAAUUGUAAUUAUGAUUCGAAAGUAUGCUCUAAACUAUGUCAAUUUAUGAUUAUUUUUUUCCAUAAUACAAUUACAUUUGUUACUUGUGCCUCUUGAUAGUUUCAUUUUGGGAUCUUGACACUACACAACAAACCUAUAAAGCUCAUAAAAAUAAUAAUAACAUACCGUUGAUAUAUCUUACUCCUAUCUCAUGAAAAAGCUAAUGGAUCCAAACUCUUUUUUCCUUGUUACUAGAGUGAGACAUUUUCAGCCCAAUCAGUUUUUAGUUGGGCUGGGCCUCAUUGUGGGAUCAAGCAGAUAUCACCAGCCAAAUAUGGGCCCAAUCACUUUCAUGGAUUCACAACUCCAAAGUCUUAACAAAAAAUAAAAACUACAGAUUUUAAGUUAAUAAGUAUUAUUUUUUUUAAAUAUCGUUUUCAUUAAUCUUUUAGGGCAGUAGUGAGAACAUGUUUGUAUGUGUAAAUAUUUAUCUAUAUAAAAAAAAUUGUGGAACUAUAUAGUGUAAUUUUUUUAUACCAAACUGAUUAAUACAAGUCUUUCUUCCAUAUAUUUAUUACUUAAUCAUGUUGUUAAUUAAGAAUAAAUCGUAUUCUUAACGCUAUUUCAAAAGUUAGGUGAUAAUUGUCAAAAUCAUAUAAAAGAGACGCCACCAUUCUAAAUAGCUUAUAUAGGAACUUAACACCUUCAUGCGCUUAGAACUGCCAACUGAAGCGUGGAUAAUAUAAUAUGGGGGUCUAAAAUAACCGAAUCAAGAAGAAAAAGAGAAAAACUAUCGGCAUUCGACAACACAUGUCAGGUGAAAAGCAAAAGGAGAAACUUAAUAUCUUCAAUUUUUGUCUGCCUAGACUUGUCAACUGAAGCGUGAAUAAUAUAAUAUGGGUGUUUAAAAUAGUAAGAAGAAGAAACUAUUGACGAUACAUGUCAAUUCAAAAGUAAAAGGAGCAACUUAACACCUCCCUACACGCCUAGAUCUGCCAAUUGAAGCGUGAAAAACAUAAUAUGACGUUUAAAAAAACUGGAUCAAAAAGAAGAAGAAACUAUUGACUAUAUACAUGUCAAUUCAUGAAGCAAAAGGAGGAACAUAACACCUUCCUACACGUCAAAACCUGACAGUUGAAGCGUGAAUAAUAUAAUAUGAGCAUCUAAAAUAACCACGAAAAUAAAAAACUAUCGACUAUACAAGUCAAUUCAAAAGCAAAAGGAGAAAGAAAAAAAGUAAUUAAAGAGCAAGACGACAAUGCACUAAACCAAAUAAAGGAGAAUUACAAAUUUGUACGACAAAUAACCAAUAAACAUUAUCUUUUUUUACUUUUUCAUUAUAUUGUCAUUGUCUAUAUUUGCCACCAAAGUAAAAUGGUCCUAUGUUUAAUCAAAGCAAAGCAAACUUUGAACAAAAAAAUAAAGAAUUAUCAUCAAGGGGUGUGAUGAGCUGACAGAAGUUUAUAAAUUUUGAAUUUUAAAUUAAAAAAAAACAACAUUGUUUUGAACAAAUAAUAGUGUUAUAUACAUAUAAUUAAGUAGGUUUUAAAACAUAGAUAUAGAAUAUUGCCUAAACCUACGUGAUUUUGUUAAGCUUGUAAGCAGUAUUGUAUGAUUGGUUAAGUAGAGAUCUCAAGUUCGACCACUUAAAAUGGAGAACUUCUUGAUAGAGAGUGCUUUAAUUUACUUCAUAAUGAACGUAUCCAAUGUGAAUUCCAAAUGAAGAAUUUACCUAAAUAGUCGUUCAUCCAAUUGUUUAAACAAAAAUUAGUUGAUGAAUGUAUAAUAUAUGUAUAAUUGUGUAUCAUUAAUGCAUAAUCUAGGUAUAACGGCUAAGAAAAUUAGUAAAUAAUGAAUUUGAUCAGCUAUUUUAUAAAGAAUCCAUAUCCGAAUUAAUCAACUUAAAGGCUUUGAAAUACACAGGAUGGUUAUAUUAAACCAAAAAAAUAUAUGAAGUAUUAUACUUAUCAAUAAGCUCUAGUAGGCAAUAAUGGAGGGGCCAUGCAAAAAAAAAGGGACACUCUUUUGUUAGUUGAGUUGCAUGUUUCUUUUAGGGAUAAUUACUUUCUAAAUAUUUCGAUCAAUUAGUUUAUGAUAUGUAUAAUAAAAUGUAUAGGUUAUAUAUACUUUAUACAAAAAUAUAUAUACAUAUGUUAUACAUAUAGUAUCUAUUUUUAUAUACAUAUGCAAAAUAUAUACAUUGACCGUGUACAUAUAUUAGGCAUAUUUUGAUCAUAUUGAUAAACUAGUUAAUCGAACGAAUAUAUAACCGUAACUUUCCCUUUCUUUUAACCAAAAAAGCACGUAGUCCGUAGAAUAUUCUCUGCUUUAAAGUUACUAAUUGGUAGCAUGCACUAGUAAAUGUCCAGGGAAAAAAACACUUUAUUUUGUUUUAACUUUUUUUUUGGGUUAAAAAAGUGAAAUAUAGUGCAUUUGAUUCAGAUAUCCACACGUAGAUCUAUGGUAUAUAUCAAUUGGAAAGCAAAGAGUUGUAUAUUGAAUAUUUUGGAUAUGCAUCUUCUUAUUCUUAUUACAGAGCAAUCCGGACCGUAUCGAAAAGAUUCAUGAGACACAACAUAGAAAAGUAACAUUAUUAAAAAACGAGGUCCAAUAUAUCUUUGCUUCAUAAGGGAUCCAACUUGGGCGUCUGGGGAAAAGUCACACCCUAAUUAAAGAGUGUGAUGUAUUCAUAGUUAGUUACUUAGCAUUAGAGUCAUAUUUAUCACUUUUUUUUUAAAGAUUUCUGAUAUUGAGUCUCUAUCUUACCUUGUAUGUUUAAGAUGUCCAAUUCUGAAUGUACGAGCAAGGGUGGAUGUAAGAUGAUGGGAGUGGAUUUCCCGCAAAUCAAUAACUUUCGCACUGAUCCUGUAUUUAUAUUGAAAAAUCUAUUAAAUGGGAAGAACAUAACUCAAUAAUUAAUUAAGUAAUCACUUGAUCCAAUGGUAGAAAUUAUUGAACUUGCUUAAGUUUUUUUAGGUCCCUCUUGAUGAUGGAUCGAUUACUCUUAGGCACAUGAUAUGAUAAAACUUUCAUAGAAUAUGAAAUCACUGGAAAAUUAUUAACUUUAAAUCCUAGAUUCGCUUUUGAGUACAAAAUAUUGAGUCCCUACAUCAUAGGUAGGAUGUGAAUAUUUGGCUUUCUUAUAUAGUUUUAGAUAAUCCUCAUUUUCUUAUUAUUAUUGAUUUGAGUUAGAAUUGAGAUUCAUUUUUUAACGACUAAUAUUAUCUUUGAUAUUGUUAUGAUAAUCCAAACCUCAACUUUAGAGAAACAAAAACCUAAAAGGAAGUAUCACUUUCAAAAAUCAUGACAUCCAACUUGUAUAUGAUGAAUCUUUGAUGUAGAAAUGUAGGCUAAUCAAUUGGAUGAGCAAUGAGUAGAUGAAGAGUUCAUAAUAUGAUAGAGAUGUGCAUGUAUGCAUGGACACAUGUCAACUUCAUCAAAUUCAAUUACAUCAUAAAGUGUUAAAUAUAAAGAUAAAAUAACACCUAUACAAAGCAACCAGUACCACUAAAAUUAAACUAUAAUAACAUGUUUGAAAUUCAAGUUUAGUAUCAGAAUAUAUUCAGAAUUUUAAGUUUAUGAGUGUUGAAAAUUAGGAAAAUAAAAUGCUUAGUAAGUUCUGAAUAAACUAUGGGUAACUUUCUUAACUCAAAUACAUAUAAUAACAAAAAAAUGUCAUUUUUUUAAAGAAAAUUUUGCAAUGAAAUUCGAAACCUCUUAUCGUUGAGCUAAAUUACAGUGUGACAUCCAUCGAAAAUUAACCAUUUUCUAAUAAUGAACUUAAAAUCAAAGCUAUUAAUUACGUCGAAUCAAUAACUAGAACUUUAGCUCCGUCCUUAUUCAGUAUAUAUGUGUAUACCAUAGAAGUUGAUUUGGAAAUGUAGAGUAGUGGAUAAACAUCAAAUAGGCCAAUCAAACUUUUAAUUGAAGAAGAUAGAACUAAAAGGUAUAUAUGUGGAAUUAUAGAAGGAAAACCUAGCUAGGCCACCAACUUUAAAUGCAUGAGAAAGACUCUUCAUUAAUCAUAGAGAAUUCACAACCACAAUUUUUUAUUUUUCUCAACCUACCACUAGUCUCUAUAGUUAUGAUUUUUGUAGCUAGCUAGCUAGGUGUAAUUUGAUCUUCACCUUCUAAAGAGCCAAUAGCCAACAUCUAUUUCUCAAGAAUUAACAAUGGAUAAUUCUAUUAUCGACUCGUAUAAGGUUAUUGAGUAGAUAAAUAAUGUAUCAGCUUAUUCCGUCCUAUCUUUCAUAGUGUAACAUGCGUUUUCAUUUGUACCACAAUGAGAGUCUUACAUCUAAGUGAAAGAUUAUAUUAAUAUAAUUUCUUUUAUCUUGGUUUGAUUCGAACAAAUCUUGUUGAACAUAUCCUGAUUUGAUUCGAACAGAUCUUUUGUAAUUAAUUUGAAGAUGCUGCAACCAACUAGAACAAACUCUUAAUCAUAUAAUUAUUUUGGGUUAAUCGUAUUUUUGGUUUCUUAAUUAUUGCAAAAUUUUAUUUAAAUUUUUGUAAUAUUUAAUUAUGUAAAUUUAACUCUCAAUUACUGAAAAUAUGCAUUCUUAUAAGUUAUACCAUUGCUUAUGAAUAUUCAAAAAAAAUCCAAAAUGAUUAAUCGUUUUUACCAUUAAUCACUUUUAUGGUAGAUUAGGUUUAAACGUAUUCUAUUGUUAGUUUAAUUUGCAUUUUAAGGGUUAUACACUUCUAAAAAUAUCCAAAUAUAGCUUUUUUUUAAUAUAAAGAUUGAAAAUGUAUAUUUUAACUAAUUAAAGAUUAAAUAUAUUGAGUCACAUAUGAUAAAGAUUAAAAUUAAAAUUUACAAAUAAUUGAGAGACCGAAAAUGCUACUAGCUAUUCCAAUUAUUUUAAUUUCACCUAAAACAAAUAAAUUAAAAAGAAAAGGUAGGAAUUUAGGGGUGUUCACGGGUUGGUUUGGAUCGGUUGUUGGUCAAAAUCAAAACCAAACCAACUUAAUCGGUUUUAAAAUUAUCAAAACCAAACCAAACCAAAUAUAAUAUACAUUUAUCGGUUUGAUUAUUAUCGGUUUCGGUUUGGUUUGCUUCGGUUAUUCGGUUAUUAACCAUACACAAAAAUAAAAGAAACAAUUCAAUUAAAAUGUGAAAAAAGUGACAACAAUCCAUUCAAAACGAAAAAUAGUUAGAAUGACUUAAAUUACUNNNNNNNNNNNNNNNNNNNNNNNNNNNNNNNNNNNNNNNNNNNNNNNNNNNNNNNNNNNNNNNNNNNNNNNNNNNNNNNNNNNNNNNNNNNNNNNNNNNNNNNNNNNNNNNNNNNNNNNNNNNNNNNNNNNNNNNNNNNNNNNNNNNNNNNNNNNNNNNNNNNNNNNNNNNNNNNNNNNNNNNNNNNNNNNNNNNNNNNNNNNNNNNNNNNNNNNNNNNNNNNNNNNNNNNNNNNNNNNNNNNNNNNNNNNNNNNNNNNNNNNNNNNNNNNNNNNNNNNNNNNNNNNNNNNNNNNNNNNNNNNNNNNNNNNNNNNNNNNNNNNNNNNNNNNNNNNNNNNNNNNNNNNNNNNNNNNNNNNNNNNNNNNNNNNNNNNNNNNNNNNNNNNNNNNNNNNNNNNNNNNNNNNNNNNNNNNNNNNNNNNNNNNNNNNNNNNNNNNNNNNNNNNNNNNNNNNNNNNNNNNNNNNNNNNNNNNNNNNNNNNNNNNNNNNNNNNNNNNNNNNNNNNNNNNNNNNNNNNNNNNNNNNNNNNNNNNNNNNNNNNNNNNNNNNNNNNNNNNNNNNNNNNNNNNNNNNNNNNNNNNNNNNNNNNNNNNNNNNNNNNNNNNNNNNNNNNNNNNNNNNNNNNNNNNNNNNNNNNNNNNNNNNNNNNNNNNNNNNNNNNNNNNNNNNNNNNNNNNNNNNNNNNNNNNNNNNNNNNNNNNNNNNNNNNNNNNNNNNNNNNNNNNNNNNNNNNNNNNNNNNNNNNNNNNNNNNNNNNNNNNNNNNNNNNNNNNNNNNNNNNNNNNNNNNNNNNNNNNNNNNNNNNNNNNNNNNNNNNNNNNNNNNNNNNNNNNNNNNNNNNNNNNNNNNNNNNNNNNNNNNNNNNNNNNNNNNNNNNNNNNNNNNNNNNNNNNNNNNNNNNNNNNNNNNNNNNNNNNNNNNNNNNNNNNNNNNNNNNNNNNNNNNNNNNNNNNNNNNNNNNNNNNNNNNNNNNNNNNNNNNNNNNNNNNNNNNNNNNNNNNNNNNNNNNNNNNNNNNNNNNNNNNNNNNNNNNNNNNNNNNNNNNNNNNNNNNNNNNNNNNNNNNNNNNNNNNNNNNNNNNNNNNNNNNNNNNNNNNNNNNNNNNNNNNNNNNNNNNNNNNNNNNNNNNNNNNNNNNNNNNNNNNNNNNNNNNNNNNNNNNNNNNNNNNNNNNNNNNNNNNNNNNNNNNNNNNNNNNNNNNNNNNNNNNNNNNNNNNNNNNNNNNNNNNNNNNNNNNNNNNNNNNNNNNNNNNNNNNNNNNNNNNNNNNNNNNNAAUUGUUUAUAAAAACAAUAUAUUAAGUAUGUAUAUUAAUAAAAUAUAUGUAUAUAAUUCAUCGGUUCGGUUCGGUUAUUUCUUCGGUUUUUUUCGAAUAAAACCAUAACCAAACCAAAUACUAUCGGUUUUCAAAAAUCUAAAACCAAACCAAACCAAACCCAAGUAAAAUCGGUUUUAUUUUAUCGGUUUGGUUUGGUUUUUCGGUUUGGAUCGGUUUUUAUCCAAACCGUGAACACCCCUAGGUAGGAUUCCCACGUACGAUUAAAUAUUUGCACGACUCGUACGGUGGAUACAUAUUACAAAAAAAUUAAAUUAAAAAUAAAUAAUUAUACUAACUAAUUCCUUUAUAUUCUGUUUAAGCAAAACAUUGCAUUAUUGAUCCAACAACAUUAGUCCAGUAUUAAAAUAAAGUUGUUUUCAAUAAAUAUACAUGGCUAUUUUAGUUGGGGGUGGGUGGAUUUUGUUGGCAUAUAAUAUAAUGUGUGUAUAUCAAUGAAAUUUCGAUGUACUUGCAUGUUGGCUAAUAAUAAGUUUAUUCUAAGACGUUUUGUGUUCGAAUUUAAAAAAUGAAAAAAAUCUUUGAUAUGUUAGAAAGUGAUUUAUUUCUUUAAUGAUGAAUUUAAAUUAGUUGAAUCAAUAAACGUAAUUUCAUUUCAUCAAAUUCGAAUCAAAGAAAUUGAGUACUAAUAUGUAUAUCUAUGAAUAUUAUAAACAAGUUUUCUGCAAUUGCUAUCCUAAUGGAAUAACUACAAAAUAAAAUUCAAAAAUAUCGUAGAGUGCUAAACUUCCCUUUGAGAAAUGCUACGAUAAUGGACAUUUGUAAGAUGACUGAACUCCAUAUAAACAAUCAUUAACCUAACUAAGCUACAAGUUAAAUUAUAUGUACUUUUUAGAAAUUUGCUUCCUCUUUUUUAAGGUUAUAACCAAUUAAUGUUUGUAUAUAGAAAUGAGCUUUAAGUUUCACAAAUGAAAUCUUUGGAAGGUGGUGUUUAUGUAGUCUUACUGAUCUUAUAUUGUGAAGAUGGAAAAAUAAUUUUUAAUAAAUCCUCGAUUCAAGUAAAAUAUAAUAAAAACAAGUAUGAAUUGGAAAAAUGAAAGAUAUAGUAAUGAAGUGAUCAUGCUGAAAUAUAUUGGAGAAAAAAUUAUAGCAAUAAUACAUAUAAUAUAAUAUCAAAACAGAGAAAAAAAACAAUAAAUAACAUGUUUUAUGCAUUGUCAGCAUUACCGUUAUCAUAAAGGGUCAGCCCAGCCCCACUCGGCCCAAGUCUCGCGGGCGAAGGAAUUUGAUGGAUUAGGGCGGGAUGACCCUCAAUUUGGAAGGGUAUACAAAUGCUCAACCAAGUCAAUCCUAGAAGGAACGCGGGCUAGGGCAGGCUAGCCCUUCUUUCUUUUUUUCAUUUUUUUAUUUUCAAACUUAAAAUUUUAUAACAUCAAGAAAAUAAGAAGAUUUUCAAAUCAAAUAUGACAAACAAUGGUGUUGUUUCAAUAACACUAGCAAAAACUCUAAUGUGCUUAGCAUAUAUCUAGGAUACUAGAUACGCGAGAUACAUGUAUCUAGUGUGAUGCAUCCCAGAUACAUGAGCAAGAUAAGAGAGUGGUGAGUAAGAUGGAGGGAGGUGAGGGUGCGAAAUUUGUGUAUGUAUCCUAGAUACAUGCAAUUCCACUCGGAUAGAGUGUAUCUAGAAUAAAUUACACCUAAUUUUGAGUCCAUGUAACUGAAUGCACCAAAAUAUGAAAAGACUCGUAAUAUAACAACAUAGCAUGCAUCUAAGUAAUUAGCUGAUACACUAGUGGGAUUUCUGUAAGUUACCCUUAAAUAAAUAGUUUUCGUCCAUGGGCUGACCCUUACCAAGCCCCGAUCAAGUCUCAAGGGUCAAUGACUUAUAUGGACCAUAGCUUUAAAUGGGCUUGAAAAAUCCUUUCUCAACCCUACCCAAUAAUGAAUUGGGUUGGGCCGGCCGUGGGCUAAGCCCUUUUUGACAGCUCUAGUCAGCAUGUAUAAUUUUUCUCUUUUUACAGAAUUAUUAAAAAUUGAAAGAUAUAUAUAUGGGAAAUUUUCACUUAUAGCCACUCAAAAAUAACUUAAUUAUGCUCCAUAAUUAUAGUUUGUUAAUUACGAUUUAUAGCUACAUGUUAGAGGGAGGAGAGAGGCGAGCGAGAUUAGGAGAGGGAGGAGAGAGGCGAGCGAGAGAGAGCAGAGAGUGGAGAGACGAAUCAUAUAUGUAUAUCUAUCAGAUAAUUGUAUAUAUGUAACUGGUAUAUAUAUAUUGUAUAUCUGGCGAGCAAGAUCGGGAGAGGGAGGAGAGUGGCGAGAGAAAUUGGGAGAGGGAGGAGAGAGGUGAGCUAGAGAGGGCAGAGAGUGAAGAGAGGCUAAUUGUAUUUGUAUAUCUGCCAUAUAAUUGUAUAUGUAUGUAUAACUUGUAUCUGAUCAUUUAUUUUUGUAUAUGAACAAAAGAGGAGAGGGGCGAGAGAGAGGAGAUCCGAGAUAACGUAAUUAUAGCUAAAAUUAAGUUGCACACCAAAAUUAAUUCAAAUCAUAACUAUAUUAGCUAAUUAACUAGUAUAUAUUUACUUAUCUACAUAAUUUCCCCCAUAUAUAUCACAUUUAAUGUGAAUAAUAGUAAUAGUAAGGUCCUUCCUCCAACUCAAUAUUAAUUGAUGAUUGCCACAUAGCCACAUAUAAAUUUGGUUGGCUGACAUUUAAAUAAAUUAUAAUUUUUGCAACUCAUUUUCUCUUGCAACUUGUCAGAAAUUUAUUAAUCCUACAUUCUUCAUUGCACACAAAAUAAAUACACAACACGAGUUCAAUCGUUCAACAUCACAUGCAUAUGUAUUUUAUCUUUUUUAAUCUAUGUGUUUUAGUUUGAUUACAUUACUUUAUUUGAGUUGAGAGUGUUUAGAUAUAAUUCGUUUCUUUGUCUUUAUGAAAUUAAAGUAAAAUUUGCAUACAAAAUAUUUUUUUCAGAUUUUAUCUGUAUGAUUACAUUAUGUUGUUAUUAUUGCCGUCCCAAUUUGACUAGGUAUAAAGAUAACAAAAUUAAAAAGAUAAUCUUGAGAUCUUAAACAAGAUGUAAUUGUGUUUCACUUUUUGCUUGUUAAUUCUUCCCAAAAAUAAGGACCUUUAAUUUUUUACUAAAACAUAUAUUAAAAAUAGGUUUAUUCUUUCUUUCUUUUUUCUUUGAUUGGUUGCUCAUUAUGUGGAUGAAUUUAAGUCUGAAUGUUCAACUAAAAUUGCUCCUCAUUAUGAUUUUAUGUUCCUUUCACUAAUUGAAUGACUAUGAACAUGUCAAAUACUCAAUUAACACACAAAACAAAUAAUUUUCAAAUUCAAUACAAGUUUUUCAUGUUCUUUUCACCAAUUGAUUCACGGAACUCACCUUAAAUUUGGAUUAAUUUCUCACAAGUAUAUAUAUAUAAUCUAAAUAAAUAUUACGGAAGGUUGAGGAUGGAGGUUGGGGUGUGGUUAUGGGAAUGGGGACUAUGUGGGUAGAGUAAAAAUGAAGUGUUUUGAUAGGUAGAAACGACACCAUUAAUAUGAAAUGUUACUUGUUGAACUUGUUUAAUUUACUGUACUUCCACGUGAAAAGUCAUUUUUAGAAAAAUAUUUUCCUCCAUGUUGAAUACAUCCUAUAUAUCAAAUAUUUCUUUUUUGAUUUUUUUUUCCCUAUGUUUAUUGUACAGAUAUUAUCCAAAUCUAUAUAAAUGUCAUUAUCAAUCCAUUCCUCAAUCGAUGUAAGAUUCUAGCACAUUCUUCAAGUUCAGGCCUAACUGGAACGUGGGUCGGAAGCCCAAAAAGAGAUGAACCCCAUGGCUUUGAUACAAUAUAAUAAAGAUGUGACAACUGAACCAACUCAAUACCGUCCAAAAGCUAGUUCUAGCGGGAAUGAUUGACCAAGUCCAUAUAUAAGCGUCAUCACUCAUCACCAUUCACCAAUCCAUUUUCCAAUCUAUAUGAAAAUCUAAUAUUUUUAAUCUCUCAAUGAAAAUUUUAACUUCAUCACUGUCUCGACCAUCAAUGUCUCAUCAAAUUAUUAGUGUGGGUAUGUUGACAAGCUGGACUCACAAAAAAAAAAAAAAAAAACCAACAACUGACCAAGAAGAUGACUUUCAAACCAUUUUUUUUUUUGUAAUAAAAGUUGUACAUAUAUAGGACCAAAAAUAGAUUCUUUUUACAACCUAUAAGACACUAAGAAAGGGUAUCCUACUUACCACAUAAAUAAAGGUAUCUUCAUUAUUAUCUGAUUACUUACCCACAAACAUGAAUAUAUAUAUUAAAUCGAUAUUUUAUUUGGUAAAGUAUUUUUUUAUAAUAUUAUCUAAAAUCCUUGUCUUUAUUUUUUCCACUUUAUAAUAAUUUUACCAAAAUAAAUAAAAAUAAAUAAAUAUAUAUAUAUAUAUAUAUAUAUACACACAGACACACUUCCUUUAAACUUUCUGAAUUUUAUUUAUAUUCUAAAUCUAUAUGAUAAUUAUUGCAAAAAUACCAUACUAUUAUAAGUGAGAAAAAAGGAGUACAUAUUAUAUUAAUUAAUUAUCAUGCAAGGUUUAUGGAUGUUAUAAUAUUUGUAUGUUAUUUAGAGGAUUUACUACUAAGUAAAAAAAAAUGUUAUAAAAAAAAUAUCACCGGCCUAAUGUUUUUUUCCAUCCAUUGUCCUAUAACUACUUCGAGAUCGAGUAAAAUUUGGAUUCGCAAUGAAAAUUUCACUUUAACAAUAAAACUUUCCCUACCAAAAGCUACUAUUUUACAUAGCUCGAAUAUCGAAAUAUCUGAUAAAAGAUAAUUAAAAAGAUUGUUUCAUUAUAAUCUUUAAUUUGAUGGUCAUCAACCUAAUUCUUAAAUAUAUAACUUGAAUGAUCAUUUAUUCAAGGAUUAAACCACAAACUAAAAGAGUGUUAAAAUUUAUUUUAAUUAACAGUUAUAUGUGACACUUUAUAUCUAAUUAAUGAGAUAAUUAAUUUAUGUAAAAUUGGCUUAAAUGGAAACGAUUUCUCUCUUAAAACACCAAUAACUAUUUGUUAAUUGAAAUUCACACCUAAAACGUAUCCAUCAUAUAUUAUAACUUAUGACUUAUUCAAAAGCUUAGUGUAUAUUAAUCAUCAUAAAUGCUAUAAUUAAUAUUAUUAUUAUAACGUCUUUGCUUUUCUAUGUUUGACAGGUGACCUUCUAGCUACUCAAAUUGACUACCACAAUAGGCACAAAUUAAUCAUUAAUAGACCGUUACGAAUGGAAAAAACAGAGAAAAAAAAUCAAUAAAGUUUCCAAAAAAAAAAGAAAAGAUAAUGAUUAAUUCCAAAACAUAUAGUUUCUUCUUAUAGGUUCUUUUAAUUAUUUUUUUCCAAAAAGUUAUCUUUCACUUGGCCAACAAGAAUAAUACAAAUAUAAAAGCCAAAGAUAAAAAUGGAUAUAAUUCAUUCACCCUUAAUCAAAGAUUUGAGAUUCGAGUUAUCAUAUUAUUAAUUAAAAAAUAUUUUUACGAGGGGAAAAAUAAACAUAUAACAGUUGAAAAUAAUAAAUUUCUGACUGAUUUGUGGUUAUUGGAAAAAAUAGUGUGCUGGUAUGUCGAAUUGCUUUUGUCGGAAAAGACUUGAUUUUAUGUAGUGCGAGAAUGAAAAAAAGUCCUAUAUUAAAUCACUUUUUUCCUUUAACAAACUUUAUUUGACAUGAAUAUAGAUUAAUCAGGACUUCAAUGCAAAUAAAAGACUUGAUGAUAAACAAGAAUAAUAUAAGUAAAAUGAAAACUUUUAAGAAAAGAAAAGGUUUAAGAGAACUAUUUUUAAAAAAAAAAAAUUUUACUACCACAAUGCUCAUCAUUUAGACCAAAAAAUAAUAAUAUUUGAACUACAAAGAAGCUAAGAACCCUCUUUUCUUGAUGAAAGGAGUGAUCGUCCUAAGGUGAUGUGCCUAAAAUGAUAUAUUUUAAGUCAGCUUUCAAAUGAUAUGUGAAAAACUAUAUAUAUUUUUUACGUAUUCAUUUUUAAGUUAUAUAUAAAAAGAAAUAUAUUUUACAUAUUUAUUUCAAGUGAUAUGUGAAAAACGAUAUAUUUUAUACGGCUCUUCACCGUGAUAUGUAAAAAACGAUAUAUUUUACAUGUCCGCUUUCAGAAUGCCACGUGCCAUGUGUCCCAUCCCCAUCCCCACCCCCACCAAAAAAGAAGCAACGUGUAGCCCUAUCCACCAUACCAACCAAAGGUUCAAUGUCAUAAUUAAUUUGUAGAAGGAAAUUAAAGAGUUGGCCGUUUGUUGGGUUAAAAUUCAAGCAUUAUACAUCUCUUUAAGCAAAACUAAUGUCCCACCUUCAACUUCUAACCGAAAAAAGAAAAUUCCUCAAUAUAUAUAUUAAUUUGAUGGGUCGUAACUGAUAAAAUUUGUUGUUAUGUGUUCAUGAGAUUAUAGAUUUGAGCGAGUGGAAAUAAUCUCUUGCAGAUAUAUAGAGUAAGAUCGUGUACAAUAAACUUUUAUAGUUCAACCCUUCUCCGAGUCUCACUCAUAGCGAGAAUUUAAUGCAAUGAACCGUUUUUUUAUUAGUUUGACUGGGGCAAGUUUAGCAAUGUAAACAGAACUUUUGAAUUUUAUUAAUUCAAAAUUAAAUGUAUAACAUAACAAAAUUAUCUUUCUAAUAUUGUGAUCUUUAACAUGAAUAGAUAAUGUUAUUAACGAUAAAAUGAAAAUGUAGGAUUUACAAAUUUAUUAAACAUAAAAAAUGACAUUUUCUUUCCAAAAAAAUUACUUAAAAGAAAAAAGCUAAUUAAGACAUGUAAUAAAUUAAAACAAAAGAAAUAAUAUAAAAACAAGAGUUGCCCUUUUUUGGAUUAUAGGAUCAACCACAUACAUCUCUUCAAGCAAACUAAUGUCCCACCUUCAAUUUCAUAACACAAAGAAAAAAACUUUGAAAAAGUCAAAAAAAAAAAAACAUAAGCAAUAUAAUUUCGAUUUCUUUUAUUUCUCAUCUGCUAUCUGAUAUCCAUCUUAUAGUCGUGUCAGAUAAAGCGCUCCAUACCAAAAACUCCUGGAAACUUGACUUUGUAUGUCAAUGAAGGUAGUCAUGGAACUCCUAGUCCCAAAAAAAAAAACUUAGGAAAUAAAAAAUUCACUAAUUCAUUACACUUUUUUUUUUAAUUUUUCAUCUAACAUAAACAUGAUAUGGAGAUGGAGAUUCAAGAGAUGCUAUCUUUUUUUGUUGCUUUAAAUCUUUAUAAAACUUCUUAAUGAAUUCUUCAGCAUCUUUAUCAACUUGUGAAUUAUAAUUUUCCUCUGAAUCUUUUAUUGGAAAUGGUGAAUCAGUAACUCUUAAUUUUCUCACAUUAUUUGGACUUUUUCCAAAUCCAAGUAAUGCUAAAGGUGAAGCAACUGCAAUAGAAGUUGUACCACCAGCUUCAUAACUUGUACUUGUAGUAUUUAAAAUUUCAAAUACUUUUUGUACAACAUCAAUUUCCCCUGAUUUAUACGUACGAUUUCGCCUACGUUUAUUAUUGGCGAAAUACAGGGGAAAUUUAGGACUAUUACUGCAGCUAAACUCGUAUUCACGACGUGUGAUAAAUGACAUUGCUACGUCGUUGUUGUUGUUUGAUUUGCACGUAAAUGAAGACGAUGAAUAGUGUGGAGGAUGUAACAUAAGGUUGCUUAUAGCUUUACCAACGAUUUUACCUCUUUUUAACAUGUCUUGAAGGGUAAUUUGCAUGAGUUUGCUCUUUAACAUGCCUUUCCUCAACAUGUAGAACAUAAUUCUCACUAUAUUCCAUAGUUUUUUCCCCGCGAUUUGAGGUGCACUUGGCUCGAUUUCCAUGUUGUUAUAUGUAAAUUUGUCUGACUGUGAAAUCGACUGGUUAAGUGUGCAAAAAAAGAUUAUGUUUGUGAAAAUAAUAAUAUAAGUCUGUCUGACUGUGAAAUCGAACGAUCUCUAAGAGAGAGGGAGAGAGAAAGAGAAGAGGAAGAGAGAUGUGUUUGUUUGGUUGUGAAGAGAGAAAAAGGAUUAAAGAGGUAUAUAUAUAGGAUUGUAAAAUGAAGGUGAGAGGUUACAAUAAAUAUUUUUUUUUAAAUAAUAUUGAUUUUUUUUUUGGGAGGAAAAAAAACAAAUUAUUAUUGCACUCUCUUUCAAUGAUAGUGAGUGGGUACAAUAAUAUUUUAUUUUAUUAUUUUAAAUAAAAGGUUGUAAAGUGAUUAAAUUAAAUCAGUCCAAGAUUGUGGCAAGUUCUCCAGAAUUUUGGGGUAUCUUCCUACCCUCUUUCAUCUCUAUUUUGCGAAACAUAUAAAAAAAUAGUUGAGUAAUAGUACUUUUGAUCCCUCAAAUAUAUAUAUUGGUCACUUCAUGUUUAAAAUAUGUUGAACAAAUCAGUUCAAGUGUAUCUCACAUGAAUUGUCAUAUAUGAUGCUAAAAAGAGAAGGACGUAUGUCUCUAAUUGUUCAACUUUAUAUAAGUUUGAGUGUUUAUUUGUGCACACUCAAAAUUUAAGGGCAUAAAUAUCAAGUAAAACCAAAUUAAAAAAUACAUUUAUAUAUUAUGUCUUGAUUAUUUAUAGAAUUAUAUAAUUACUAUCAAAUAGCAAAUUACUGUACAAACUUAACAUAUAAGACAUGAGUAAAUAAGUUGUGAAACGGUUAACCGUUAUAGUAAAAUUGUGAAUAUUCAUAAGCAAAAAAUCAAAAAAGUGAGCACAAUGCAAUUAAAUGAAAGGUUUGAUGUGCUUGAAAUGAAAAAGGUUCGAUGUUUUUAGUCAUAUAUUAUAGAGAAAUUCUGAAUAUUCAUAAGCAAAGAAACUAAAAAUGCACAGUACAAUUAAUUGCGAGGUUUGACAUUUAUUAUAAGGACUAAAAUUAUAAUUACUAAUAAUGAUUGAAGGAUCAAAAGUGUUAUUAUCCAAAAAAAAUUUAUUAGAAUGCAAAUAAUGUUAUAUUUUUUCUCUCUCUUUGAUUUUCUUCGCUUUAUGUAUGCCAUAAAGAAAGUAUUUUAAUUUUUUGUGCAAAAUGUUCUUUAACGAAAAGGACUUUGCCUAGUUGAUUUUAGAGAAAUAAAAAGAUGUGACAAAAGGAUGGGAAAACACACACUUAAUAAUCCAGAUGGUCGUUUACAUUAAAAUCAUAAAUUUAUGAUCGGAGUCGAUAUAAAAGGGUGUGAACUUAAUAAUUCUGAUUUCGAUCAUGUAUAUGAGUUACAAAAUCAACUAAAUAAAUACUAACGAUAAAUUUCAUACAUGUAAUGAUUGUGGCUGAAUUCAGAAUUCUAUCAAAUUCAUAAUGUGUAAAUCCUAAAUUUACUUUUAUGCGUGACGUAUUUGACAUAUACACUUUAUUUUUCACUAAAAAUGGCCAAAUAUCACAUAUUCUCACCUUAUUUGAUCAUUUAAUUAUGGAAACUUAUUAUAAUUUGUUAUAAUUAUUUAGUGUGAAUAAUUUUACCCAUAUAUAGAACAACACAAUUAUGGACACUUUUUUUUUGCCUGCCUAAUUGGAGAACUCAUUAUUUAUGAGUGAAAUUGUGGUGGAAACUUCUUUAAUUGUUUUUUUUUUUGUAACAUUAAUUAUUUGGAAGUUGUUUAAUAUAAUAUUACUAGAAGCUGUCUUCCAGCUUCAAGAAUAGUUUAAAUAAUGCCUAAAAAAAUAGACGAAGCUUUGAUUUCAAUGAUUGAAGUAAGUAAUUAAAUCAAAUAUAUUUUUCUCGAAAUUGUGCAAAUUACUUUUUUUUAAUGAGGGACCAUGAAAGAAAGAAAUAACUUUUUUUUUCUCGAUCUUAUUUUAUAUGACUUUUUUAUAUUUAAAAGUAAAUUAAUUUUAAACUUGUUCUAAUGUCAUACUUUUAUAAACAGAUAAAUGUCAUGGCAUUUGCAAGACAAUAAUUUUAUUUUAUUUUAAAAUAUAAUAUUGAGUCAAACAUUAUCAUAUAAGCUGGAUUGGAGGAGAAAUCAAACCGAAACUUGCAUCUAGCUAUAAUACGUGAAUUCAAAUUAAAUCGAACCCCAAUAGAAAUUUUAACAUUAGGUGGAAAACAAUAAAAAAAAUCAAGAUUUUUUUUAAAAAAGAAAUGUUCGAAUCACAUCAUAGUACGAAUGUCUUCAAGUUUUAUGUUGUUUGGUGGUGUAAAUGUUUAUUUGUCAGUUGGUGUUAAAAGAAGCAUUUCAUGUAGGUCAUAUUAAAAAAAGUAGUUGCAAUAAUUAAUUAAUGUAACGUGAUAAUUAAGUUGUGUAAAGUACUUUUCAUUUUUAAAUACACAAUUUAAUUACUAAAAUUAUAUUUGGUAUUGACUCUUAUUUUUUAAAUUUAAAAAGAAGAAGAAGAAGUGAGAACUAUGUUUUAGUAAAAAUAUAAAAUCACUAACAACCUUAACCAGAGGUCUCGACCUCGAGUUGUGUAUGAAGUCGCUUUGUUAGGGAUUAUUUUAUUCCUCAAUGUGAAAUUUCUCGAUGCAAAUUCCAAUUUAAUUGAACGUGGAUAUUGGAGUUUUAAAAAAGAGCACCUUAAUGUUCUCCAAAAGUUAAACCAUGUAUAUUCUUCUAUAUUAUCCACUUUUUAAUUUAUCAAGUGCCUAAAUGAAAUAAUAAAAUAUUCAAAUAAUUGUUUGGUGUUGUAGAAUUAAAAAGAUUUAUAGGUUUUUAUUCAAUUGUUGAUCAUCUUAAUGAGAAAAAAAUAAUAUAAUAAUAACAUGCUUAAUAAUUAAUAUAAUUCUACAAAAUAAAGUCUGAGAGAGUGAUGAUAUAUUGUCUUACUUCUGCCUUACGAUGAUAAAAAUGUUGUAUAUCUUAAUAUAAUUCACUUUACUUAGAACUAGUUUAGAUAUUUUUAAAAAAAAAUAAUAAACAAUUCAAAUAUAUAAAUUAAAUUGCCUAUUUUUAUUUGAAUAUUCACCAAUAUGUACCAUCAGUAAUAAAACUACUUUAAUUCACAGCAAAAACCAAUUAAAUUUAGCCUGAAGUCAAAGACGGCAAAGAAUCUAGAAAUUUAAUAGGGAAAAGAUUUGGAAAAAAUUUGAUUUAAUACACUGACUCUUUUAUUUGCCAAUAAUUCUUUUUUAGAUAUUCAAAUUUAAAAUAUUCAUAUUAGAUAAUUUUGAUUAUUUUAUUAAAAAAAAGGGAAAAUCGUAUAUAAUAGCAAAUUAUUAAUUCAAAUUAAAUGCUAUAAAUAUAGUUUGAUUUAAUUGUACCUCAUAGCAAACUGUUGCUAUUUCACCUCUCUCCUGGUGAAUCUCGCUUGCCACUCUCGUUCUCUCCCUCGCCUCUCUCGUUUUUAUACAAACGCAAGUGUAUAAAGUGCGUUUGUGUUUGUAUAAGGCGAGAGAAAACUGUAUAUAUACAUAUUUUUUCGUUCCCCUCUCUCCCCUCUCCCAGAUCUCGCUCGCCACUCUCCCAGAUCUCGCUCUCUCACUCACCUCUCUCACUUAAUACAAAAAAUGCAAAUUGUAUAAAAAUGUGUUUGUGUUUGUAUAAAACGAGAGAAAAUUGUAUAUAUACAUAUAUUUUCGUUCCCCUCUCUCCCCUCUCCAUGAUCUCGCUCUCUCACUCGCCUCUCUCACUUUAUACAAAAAACGCAAAUUGUAUAAAAUGCGUUUGUGUUUGUAUAAAGCGAGAGAAAAUUGUAUAUAUACAUAUAUUUUCGUUCCCCUCUCUCCCCUCUCCCAGAUCUCGCUCGCUCACUCGCCUCUCUCACUUUAUACAAAAAACGCAAAUUGUAUAAAAUGCGUUUGUGUUUGUAUAAAGCGAGAGAAAAUUGUAUAUAUACAUAUAUUUUCGUUCCCCUCUCUCCCCUCUCCCAGAUCUCGCUCGCCACUCUCCAAGAUCUCGCUCUCUCACUCGUCUCUCUCACUUUAUACAAUUGAUCUUUUUGUAUAUGUAUACCAAAGAAGAUUAUACAACUGCUUUCUUUUGUAGAUGUUGCGUAUUCUCAAAUAUUUAUUACGAAUAGAAAUAAUUCAAUAUUAAGGAGCAAAUAAGGAAAAAGGAAUGAUAUAAUUGGCUGCGUUUUUUCACUGUGGUUUCUUUUUCUUUAUUACUUUUGCUCUUUUCUUUUUGGUCUGAUUUGACACUUUGCUGGAAAAUACAAAUGGGUCAAAUCAAAAUAAAUAAAAAAAUAAAAAUUAGAGUUUAAAUAACAAAUUAAAAAUACAAGAAUCUGAAAAUUUUGCUUUAGUGGAUAGACCAAACGUAGUAAAAUAUUCUCCAGUAAUUGACUAAAUGUACAUGGUCAAAAUUAUUUUGAUAUAUUUAUAGGAAGAAAUAUUAUUUUUUGUUCGUGUUGAACAUCUUUGACUUUUUUUCAUAUCUAUUUAUUUAUAUUUUAAACCCGCUCAAUAAAAUUUUUGACUCUGUCACUACUAGUUGUCUUACGUAUAUUAUGGGCUAUAUAAUGUUCAAAUAAUAUUUUUUUUGUAUAAAUAAUUAAUGAGUGUUGAAUUCAUUAACUUCUUCGAAUAUUUAUUUUUUCAUAUUUUAGUGAAAAUUCUGACUCCAUCUAAUAGUAUCAGGUCAACAAAACCAAGCAAAAGUUUUCUUCUUCUAUUAAUUUACUUAAUGAACAUAUCUUCUAGUUGUCUUAAAGGAUAUUUUAAUUAGCUCACUAAGCUCCAAAGACUCAGAAACAAUGUGUCUUUGUUGUUGCAUUAGAUUCAAUUAAUUAAUAAACUCAGCUCAAUAUCUAGAUAAUUGAGUGGUUAAUUUAUUAAAUUAAUUAAUCAUUAAAGUACUAAAAGUACCUAUACAUUAAUCAAUUGUACAAUUAUUAGAGCAUUUUAAAAUUAAAUUGAUAGGAUCACUUUCCUCAUGAAUGUUAAGAAAUUAAAGAAAGACACUUGAUGUUAACAUCCCAAUAAUUCAUGUUGGAGACUUAGUGAGGACCUAAGUAUAUAAUGCGGUUGGAUAGUUCAGAUUGCUUCAUUCUUUAAUUAGAAUCACGAAUUCGAGUUCUGAAAAUGAAAAAAAUUAUGUUGGGAACGCUCCCUUAAGAAUAAGUUUCAUAAUACGCAAAUUCAAAUUUAAUCGGAUUCUAUAUGAAUACCGAGCGGCGAGCACUAGAUUAAAAAAACAUUUUAAAAAGCAUACUAGGUUUUGUUAUUCAACCUAACAAAUAUUCAUUUAAUUGGUAAUACUAAAAUAGUGUCAUUACCUAACAUAUAUUUAUAACAAUUUUUUUUUAUUAUUUGGUAAUACUAAAUUAGUAUCAUCAACCUAACAUAUAUUUAUUUUUGGUGAUACUAGAAUAUAGAUACUACUACAUCAUCAGGGUGAAGCUGCAAAAAAAUAUUUAUACAAUCAAUGUUGGGAUAUAUAUAUAUAUAUAUAUAUACUAGAUGUGGUGUGCCCGUGCGCUUGUGGUCGACAUUAUUGUUUGUUUAUGCUAUUUAAUUUGACAAAAUAUAAGGAGAAUAUAAAGAUGCAACAAAGAAAUUUUAGUAAGCUAUAAAGUAAGCAAGAAUGACCUUUACCAAUAAUCAUUCAAGAAUGUGUUAAAAGAAGCUGACUUAGGAGAUUAAUUUGAAAGUUAAAGAGCUGCUUAACUCUUCUCCCAUAAAGAAAAAUAAUAGAAAUCAACCAACCUAUUUGUGUAUUAGAAAAACAAGGAACCAAAGAAGCAUCUGGAGCAGCUAACUCCACAAAUUCCAGGACACUUUGUAUCUGCAAUUUACAAAGUAGGAGUUGAAUAUAUCAAUUGUGUAAUGACACCACAGCACACCCACACACACCCACACACUGUGUUAUCAACAUCAAUUAAUUUUGGGCUGAUGUAAAAUUUGUUCAACUAUCUAGCAUUCUUUUUGUCCUCCGCAUCCACAUUUGCCUCAUUAGAUAAAAUAUUUAUUGACAUGGUUUAAAGUUUUAAGUGGGAUAUAAUGGAAGUAUAUACUAUUAAUUAUUAUUCAUCUCUAAGUGGGAUAUAAUUGAAAUAUAUACUAUUAAUCAUCUCUAAUUAGUGGGAUAUUGUUCCCUUUCAUUACUUGUUAAAUAAAUUUUUCUUUUUUAAAUAUUCACUUUAGCUAACUAGAAGAUUAGUUUUUAUCACAAAAUUUACCCCUAUUAUUAAUUAAUAUUUCCUAAACUCAAUAGAGUUUUAGUGGUCAAAUUUAAAAUUUUAAAGUAACAUUGAUAAUGAUAAAUUAGUAAAAUAAUCACUAUAUUAAUAUUAUUUAAGGGAAAGUAUAUAUUAACUAUUGUGCCUUAUAAUACAUUUUAAGAUGUUUUCCAACAUGAAGAUUCGAUAAAGAAAAAGAUUAAAAAGAUUUAUAUACUUGAAUUAACGUUGAAAAUUAAGCAAGUUGACACUUAUACUUCGAACCUCAUUACAUAAAGUUUACAACCAACAACAACUCAAUGUAUUUCUGCAAGUGGAGUUCGAGAAAAAUAUUGUGUAUUAGCGUUAUCCACACCUUGUAAAGAUGAAAAUAUUGUUUACGACAAAUUUUCAGCCGAAAAAAGAGCUAUUAAUUAUAAAGAUAUUUAGGGAGCUGAAUUAUAUUAUUGGUGGUCAAGGCCAAUGGACAUGUCAUUUUCAGUAAAUUUUCUUUGUUCUCCCAAAGUUCUUGUUAAACCUAUUCUCUCUUUAAUGCUUCAACAACUUGUUUUCAUAAACUAGGCCACAAAUUAAAUCCCCUAUAUAAUUUCCCAAUUUCAUUGAACCUCUAAAUUUAAAGUUUCAAACAAAUAAUACAACUUUGAUGUUGAUCUCUCUAAUUAUUGGGUGGUGGAAUGCAUGGAUGAAUCAGAGCUCUUGGUUCGAGUUUUUGGAAUAGAGAAACUUUGAAUAGAAAAUGUUUCCCUUUUAACAAGUGCUAUACGACAUGAAUCAUAAUUAAUCGAACUAGUGGAGUUAGAAGACCAUUAUUAGUACCCCAAGAUACUCUAUAAAUUGUUGUUCAAUGUGCAAACGUUACAUACCUACAAAAAAGAAUUAUUUGUGGUCAUAUUUGCUAGUCGUUUGACCCAUGGUCCGGCAUAACAUGGACGGGAUCUUCCCGUCCAUGCUAUGUCCUCGAGCUUUCAAAGCUUGAAAUCUUAUCAACGAUCAUCGAUAAGAUCUUUAUAAACUUUCAAUCCAUAUUUUUGCUUUUAUAUUAGUGUUCAUCUUCUCACCUAGCUACAAGUGUACCAUCUUCAAUUCAAAUCCAUUAAUAAGCCCAACUUAGGCAUUGAAUUUGUGUCAUUUGUGGCCCAAUUUAGUGAAGUGCUAAAUAUGAGCCUUUUCAUAUAGAGCCCAACUAAGAAAUCUUUUGAUGCUUUGCUUAGUAGAGUUAUAACUUCAUACACAUCAAGCAAUGAAUAUUUUACUUUAUUAUUAACAAAUAAGGUUAAAUUGCUUGGUCUGGUAUAAAUAUUUGGUGCGGAAAACAUAUAUUAGGUGCAACCCUAGUGAAAAGUUCAUCACUAUUUUCCAUAUUUCAAGGAGAAGACUUUGUAUGGUCAUUCUGUCCAAAUUGUAACUGAUUAUAGAAGAUCAUUUUCCCUUUAACAGUUAUAUGUAAUCUAGCAAAACACUAUGAAGGUCAUAUAUAGUGGGAUGGUCAAGGGGUAGGCAUGGGUGAGCAGGAGACAGUGAAAUUGAAAUAUCACUUAUAAAACUUAUUUUUCUACUUACAGAAAAUUAUUUUCCUCAUUAAAAUAUAUUUUUCAAAACAUUUCGACAAUCAAAACAUUAAAAAAAGAAGUUCCUUCACUAUAAGGUUCAGGAAGUGUGAGCCAACUGCUUUAUCAUGUUAUAAUUGAGCCGAUUUGCAUUUUAAAUAUCACCUACCUAAGCACUUCUAUUUAUAUAUAACAAUUUUUUAGGCUUAGUUGAAAAUUUCUUGCUCUAGCUCCCAUUUGGUCAUAGAUUUUAAAGUGAAAACUUAAAAAAAUUUAGUUUAUAAAAUUGUCCUUUUUGACAAGUAUUUUAUUUAGAAAAAAAUUGAUGUUUUCUGAGUACCAGUGUCAAAUUUGAAAAUAUUUGAAGAACAAAUUUGAUCAAAUUUCAUAGUCAAAAGAAUAUUUGAAGAUGGAUUUUCAAAUAUUCAGUUAUUUGGCAUUGUUAAUCAGACAACUACAAAAAACAAAUUAGAAUCACGCAGUUGGUGUGCUUUCUAUUCAAUAACAACAUAUGGUCUUGGAAAGAACCUUUCAUUCAAUGUUCCAAUCUAUAUAAAACGUAGUUAGCAGAGGUCAAUUUAUCUAGCAUUUCUUUGCAUAAAGAAUUACUUAUGCAUAAACUCUCUCUCAUAAUUCAACUUCAAGACAACCAAAGGCACUAUACCUUAGUAUCUCUUGAACUUCCAAUCUUAAAUAAAACAAUAGUUAGCAGAGGUCAGUUUGUCUGGUAUUCCCUCGUGUAAGGAACUACUUUUGCAUCGGCUUUCUCUCAUUAGAUAAUUAUCGAGGCAAAAGCAGCUCUCUCCGAAUUCCAGAAAAUAUUCGUGAUGUGAACUACACGAAGAAUGAAUUGAAUGAUGAGCUUAACACCAAUCCGCACCUGGAAGUAACAUCAGGUUUGGAUAGUGAAAGACUCAUAGGCGAUUUUAGGAUUUAAAUUUUUAAGCACUCAUGUGUCCAAAAUAUAGUAUUUUUUCGGAAAUUUUCAUGAUUGUUCAGAUAUAUAUCUAUCUAUGUGUCGAAAAUGCUGUGUUCAGUUGAACUCGUUUACAUAAAAUUUAGUUAAUGAAGGCCAUACCUUCCAUGAUAACGGAAUUCCACAUAUUCGUGAUGUUAACUACAGGUGGAAUGGGUUGAAUGAUGAACUUAGGGCCAAUUCUCGCCUGGAAGUAACAUCACGUUUAGAUGGUGAAAAACUGAGAGAGAUCCAAGAUUUAAAAAAAUAUAUAUAUAGUUAAUACUCCGUGUCGAAAAUGUUGUGUUCAAUUGAAACUUGAACUGGUUUAUGUGUUCGAUCAAACCCAAUAAUUUUGAUUCAAAUCAUAUAUUUGUCUUAUGUGAGAUCCAUUGAAUAUGUACACAUUAUUAUUUUAUUAAUAUAGAACCCAAUAACUUUAAAGAACUCAAAUCUGAGGAUGAGUUGAAACAAGAGCAGGCAUACUACUACUUUAUGAGGAAACCAAUUUAAGUUAAUGACAUGUGGGCAAAUUAUAGCAGAAACUGAUACUGAAACUGGUAGAAUUUAUCAAGGCUGGCUACACUCCAUCAGUAUCAAUUAAAUGUGCAAAGAGAGUUCCUUUGCAGCAAAAGAUUCAGAGGCAAGGACCCUACACCACAAAACAAAAACGCAAAAACUUCUCAGAAAUUCCUCAUAUCCAAACGAAAAAUAUUCAUAUCAAACUGGGUCAAAAUCACGCAACUUAAUUACGCGAUGGCUAUUAUCAUCUUCCAAAUCUAAGAAAACCACUGUUUUCAAGGCAGAAAAGACUUAAAGCAAUAAUUAAAGAGCUGAUAAUAUCGCCUGAAGUAGGCAUGACUUCAACACUUUAAAGCUCAAGUUGCAAGAACAGAAAUACACUACGACAGUAUAAAGAUUGAGAGUAGUUCACUUAUGCAGCAAAGAUGAACACAUAAAGGCCAGCGACAUUGGCAGUGGAAGACAAUUCAACGCCCUUUGUCGAAAGCAAUACGAGUUCUGCUUGAUGUUUCAUAACCAUCUCGUGUGGAGCCAGCACUAGCCUUCAUGGUGCCUCCACUACCAACAUUUGACAUGGCUUUCUUUCCCUUCUUAACCUCUGUCAAGAACUGGUCAAGACCAAAUGGAUCAGCUUCCUCAACUUCCUUAACUUCCUUUUCAAAUGGCACAGGCCCAUCUCUGGUACUAGUCCUCUCAGAUGUUCCAGAAAAUGCCUUGUCGGGCUUAAAGCGCUCUGUCUUCAUGAUCUUAUCCAGCUGCUCAUCUGCACCUCCAUACAUUUCAGAAUCAGUAUCUUUCUUCGGUCUGUAUAGAGUAGAAAGAGUAGGCUGAGCGGUAAAUAGUCCCUUGUCAUAGACGUUGUAGGAAUCAUCCACUGCAAAUCCAGAAUCCAUCCCUUUCUCCUGGUUGAACAAUCUCUGAUCAUACAUGACCUCUCCUCUUGAUGUGCCAGUAGAAGCCAUUCCAAGAGCCACUUUUUCGCUCACAUCACGGUCUCUAUCUCUGGUGAUCUUACUCUUCUUACCCAUUGCAGCAUCUUUUGCCUCCAAUCUCCUCUCCCUCUCCCUCUCACGGCGCCGCUCCUCACGUAUCUUCUCUCUAUUCAAUCUUUCUUCCCUUUCCCCCCUUGAUUCUUUGGGCAAAUCUCUUGCUCGCUCAUAAUCCUCAUUCAUAUCAUCAACAUUCCUGGAGUCCCUCUCAGAAGGUACAUGUGCAGCAGCCGAAGGUACCCCAACCAAUCUAUCAGAUCUUGCCUUGCGGGCCAACUCCCGAAGUUCUAUCUCUUUUUUCUCCUUUUCUUUCAUCAUCAUCUCUUUCUGAACCUUUGACCGCAUUGCAACUGCUUCUCUGGCUUUCUGUUCUGCAACAUACAGAGCCUCUGAUAGUUUUGCAAAAUUAUCAUUGAUCUGAACAUCUUGAAGUCCCCUGCCAUCAGCAGCAAGACGCUUAUCAAGUGGGAUUGUGUAACCUUUGGGGUUCUUCCAGUUUGAUAUACAAGGUGGAAUCUUCCAGUCCUGCUGGUCCUUCACUGUAACUGGACGGGGAGGAGAAUGCAUAACAGGCACAGGUGGAGAACCAGAGGCCCUAGGGACCCUCUUGUGUUUGAACUUCGGUGGAUCCAGAGGGUCCACGGGCAUCUCUACCAUCCUAAUAAUCCUCUCCUUUGCACCUGAGUUAAAAGCUGCCGCUUGCUGGGAAGGCUUGUACUUAAUAAACUUGGACUCUUGAGAUUGUGUGGGAACAUUUUUGGGCUGUGCAGCACUCAACCGCACAUUUACAAUCUUCUCAAGUGCUGCUUUAGUUUCCUCCAUUGUCUCAUCGAUUACUUUCUGCUUCUCAUCCUGAUCCAUCUCUUCGUCACUCUCGUCCUCCUUCACAAACUUGGGGAUAAGAUCUUUAUGCUGAGAAUAAACAAUUUUCUUUGCAUUCUCACCCUGCCUCACAAUUGCAUCAUAUCGCACUUCACCAUGCUCAUCCACAGUAACGGGCAAAUUCUUUCCCCCGGCUUUCCAGUCUUUCUUUCUGCCCAUAUCAAGUGGGUAUUGUGCAUAAUGGAUUUCAGGGAACGCUCCUCCAUCCCCAAAGUCCUCAAGCUUGGAUGGCCUAAAUCCAGCCCGUUUUAGAUAAGGGGGUACCGGAUUUGCCUUGAUUACUGCAGAUUUCUCCGCCUCAGUUGCACUGUACCUAUUCUUGAACCACGGGUCACUUGUAUGGUCAUAGACUGUGCUGGUAGUGGACUUUGCUGUUGGAAGAAGCUCCUUGAGAGAUGCCAUGCUGAAAAUCUCAGAUUUAAAGUUCCUACAGCCACUGCAUACACAGAGAAGACAGGUACAGAUCAAUAUAUCAGUCUCUCAACCAUGUCUAAAUAGACCUUUUAAAUAUGCUGCUGAUAAACAUAACCAGCUAAAUGCAAAGAUCAGUAUCAACCAAAUAAAAAAGGAUUAAUUACUUAAUUAACCUGCUCUAACAUAUUAACCUAAGGUCAGCACCAGUGUUGAUAGAUCAAUUGGAAUAUAGACUUUUUGUCAAUCAAUUAGUUGAUUGUUAAAGCUCAAAUUAGUUGUUCGAAAUAAUCAGGAAACAGACUUGCAAAGACUUUUUUUUUUGAAAAUAAAACAGACUGGCAAUGACUUUAAACUGAUAACUUCAAUUAUAACUGCUAAACCCCACAAAGUAGUGGUAAAGAUUCCAUCUUUUAUGGCCUUACUCCCUUUCCCCCUCCCCACACUCCACUCGUGGGCUUACAUUGGGUAUGUUGUUGUACUCCCUUUCCCCUGAGGUUUCUAGAUAUUGAUUCAUAAUAUUAUACCACACAAGAAUCAAACAACAAUAUCUAUUAACUAGCAACAAUACAAAGCACUGCAAAGCUCAGAUCUGAGGACUUUUGUUAUACACCGAGUAAAACAGAGCACAGCAAUCUAUCUCACAUACAGCAUUUCACAAAAAAAAACUGGAUAAACAGGGGAUAGGGUUUCAGGCAGAUAGGAAAAAAAUACAGGUAGAGAAAAAGAGGUGCAUACACCUAGAUUUCUAUACAUUGAAUCAUAUUAUUAAGCAUAUACUGCACACAACGACUUUGCAAACAUAUCAAAAAGCAAACAUACAAAGUACAAUACACAGCAGAUUUGAGGGCUAUUUUAACUACUAUUUAACAAAACAAUUGAAUAAAAAUACAUAAGAGAGAGAUUAGGGUUUCAGACGAAAGAGAAUGGUAGAAGUAAAAACAUAGAAAACAAUAAGAUACUUACAAAUCGAAUUCUUAGCUGAGUUCGCCGGAGAAGAAGGCGAAGAAGAGUAGCCGCCGGAGGGUUGAAAUCGCCAACGAAUCGUCGGAUUUUGGGUACUUAAAAUUGGGAUUUUUUUUUGCUGUGCUUAUAUUUUCUUUAUAUAUAUAUAUAGAGCCCAAAAUAUGUAUCCUAUUCCUUCUCUUAUUGCAUAGAGAUUUAAAGCCCGUUUGAAUUCACCUUCUCCUUUUUUUUUUAAGUGCUUAUAAAAUUAAAAAUAUUUUUUUAUUGAUAUUGAUCGUCCUGCAAUGAUAGGUCAGUUUUAUUUUAAUCGGAGAAGUUUUGAAUUCGAGCCUUAAGUAAGAAUAAAAUUAUGUUGGAUGUGUCACUACCGAAUGAGUCCUAUAGUGCGCGAUUCAGAUUAUUAGUCGGAGCUCAAAUGCGAAUUUUGAAAUCCAAAAAAAUAAUAAAAUUCUAAGCACUUUUAUAGAGUUGAAACAAAAUAAAAAGUGUUUUUAAGCUAAAAAUUACAAGUCCAUUCAAACACUCUUUUUAAUGGGAAAAGGGACAAAUAUAUCCUGAACUUUCAAAAAUGGUAUGUCAAUACCCUCCGUCAUACUUUUCGACAAUUAGUAUCCUCGCAGUCCAAUAACUAGUGCACAUUUGCCCCUCCCACAAACGGAAAACUCAUUUUGUACACGUGGCACAAUCCUACGCCUCAACUCGGGUUGACCAAAUAUUUAACCCAAAUUUCAAAUACCCGUUUAACCCGCCCUAUUACUCAUUUAACAAACUAUUGACAAACCUAAAGAAAAAGGCCCAUUUACUUUAUCUCUUCUUCUUCCUCGUAAGGUCGUUGUCGUCCCCCACCCCCUCCUCCUCCUUCUUCUUCUUUUAUCUUUCCAUCUAUUCUUUCAAUCAUCUACUUGAAGAUUUAAACAAAAGAGAUCGAGAUCAAAGCACCUAUUUCUGUAAAGAAAAAGACAUCACGCUAAAAUUUUGAAGAAGAGACUCAAAAUCACUUUGCCUUGGAUAAAGUUUCUGCAAAUUAAAUUAAUUAACAUAAUCUAUUAUGGAAAAAAAUUAAUUAUAGUAAUCGAAAAUGAAACAAAACAUAACCAUAUCAAAACAUUGCAAUUUAUUUGCAUUCUCUGCUACUUGUAUGUCCUUUUUGUUAAGAAAGAGGUAGUGGGCGAAUACGUCUGAAUUCUGAUGCAAUUCCAGGAAGGAUAACUUCCAGCAGAGACUGAAAUUAAAUAGAAUUUAUAUUCUAUUUGUAGUUGAUCUACCAAUUCUUCGAGGAAGUGAGUUCCAUUUGUAGUUUUCAUUCAAAUCUGAACAUUGUUCAAUCCCAAAAACACUGAUACAGAUUCAAAAUUCAACACAUUGAGGGCUCUCAAAAACAUGAACAACAAAUUUCAACCUGGAAAAUUCCAAUCAAAUUACGCAAUAUGCCUCGAAAUUAUUUUUGAUUUCUGCAAACAAAAAAAGGAAACUCAGGAAUGGAAAAUGGGAUUUCGAGCUAAUACAACUUAUGUUUCUUCCCCAAAUGGAAACAAAGUUCUAGAAAGUUUCCAGAAUCUUCUUCUUCUUAACUAAAAUAAAAAAAACAAAUUCAAAUCUUCAACCCCACAAUCCCAAAUACUCGAUUCAGAUCCAGAUUUCAACAUAUGUUCAAGAUUUUCACUUGGGGUUCUUGAACAUGAACAAAUUCUGAUGUGGGUAAUGGAUGUAUUGGGUGUGUUAAAUGGGUAAUGGGGUGGGUUAAACGGAUAUUUGAAAUUUGGGUUAAAUAUUUGGUCAACCCGGAUUGAGGUGUAAGAUUGUGCCACGUGUACAAAAUGAGUCUUCCGUUAGUGAGAGGGGCAAAUGUGCACUAGUUAUUGGACGGUGAGGGCACUAAUGGACGAAAAGUAUGACGGAGGGUAUUUACAUACCAUUUUCGAAAGUUCGGGGGUAUAUUGUCCAUUUUCCCCUUUUUAAUUAGUAAUAGUAAUAGAACCCUCAGGGGUUGGCCUGCUGGCAAUUGACUUGAGCCUUGGGGUUUGCUCCCUUUCAAGGUCUCAAGUUCGAAACCCACUAGGUGCAAACAAUUUCUGAGGGCCAUCGGACUGGGUAAAACCUGAAUUAACCGUGGUGCACUUGCGGGAAACUCCUUGCCGAGGGCCUGUGCACCCCCGGGAUUAGUCGGGGCUCAAAGAGACUCGGACACCCGGUGCAAAUCAAAAAAAAAUU
rnacentral:lncRNA from 1 species